UGCAAGAUCUGAACCACUUAGGUUAAGAUGUGUUAGAUUGGAGAACUGGCCAAAUCGAGAAGAAAUAUGGGAGGUGUUGAAAUCAUUGAAAGAGAGGUCGAGGCGUUGAAGAUGAUGGAGAGAGAAGAGAGAAUUAUUGGGAAGGAGGGUGCCGUAAAGCAUGCUGCAAGAGAGGUCCAGUGCAGUGACAUGCCCGGUAUUCAGGUCACAAGUGACCCCAUCCCACAAGCAGCAGUCUGUACCCUCUUUCCAUGACUCUGUCUUGGGAUAUUGAUCAUAUUGAUAGUUUCUAGCAAACCAGAAAGGAGAACUCUGAAUGGAGAAGGAUUGUUUGAAUUGAAGGAGAGAAAGAGAUUGGCGAUGAGCACACGAAUGAGAAGAGGAGGAGGAGGAGUAAUUUGAGGAGAGUGGAGAUGAAAUUGUUGAAUGGAAAUGGAAGAGAAGCAGAAUGGAAGAGAGAAAUUGAGAGAGGGACAGUGGUGAAAACCCCAUGUUGGCUGGCCUUACAGGAUUCGAAAGUAUAAUUAACUGGGAAUUUAAGAUGAGAAGUAAAGAAAGGCAUUAUUAGUAGUAUUUAUAGACGAAAUCAAAGUGACUGGUUGAAGCAUUAAACAAGUUUCCUUAGCUGAAAGAGAAUCGGAGCAAAGAAAGACUAAUUUGUUCAUGAGCACAUAUUAAUUGUUAGUAUUAAAAUACCUUUUUCAGGAUUUAAUAAUUAAAAAAAAUAAAGAAAGAAUAAAAACCGAUGGAAAUAUAUGAAAGGUUCCUUUUUCAGGAUUUAAAUAAAAAAAAUAAUUAAAGUAUGGGAUUAUCUAUACGUAAUUGAAAUAAAAAAAUUGAUAAGAAAAGUAAGCUUCACCUUUAUAUCGUUUCUCAUGACCCAAAAGUCUUUCGGUGUGAUUCACAAUGUUGUGCAAUAUAUUUUUUAAAUGUAUUUUUUAAUUGAAAAUAUAUUUAAUUCUUUUUAAUUUUAAUAUAAACCCAUCAAAACAUAAAAAAACACAUAAAAUAUUUAAUUUAAUGCUUUUUUAGGCAAUAUGUUUUUAUAAAAAAACAAAAGUUACCACAAUAUCAAAUAUUUAUUAAUGAGAAUAAGAAUAACAACAUGACAAUAUUAAUUUUCUAAAUGGAUUAAAUAUCUUUUGAUAUUUAAUGAGGGGUUGGUAAUUUUCUUAAAAUUAAUUAAUCCUUUUACUGUUAAAAAUCUUGUGGGGGAUAGAAAGUUGUUGGAAGAAGAAGGAUAAUUAUUUUCUGUCCUUUUUCUUCCCUCUUUCCCUUCCUUUAAGGCUCCCCUUUGCAUGUCAUGCAGUUGGUGUGGGAAUAAUCCCCUUUGCAUGGGACGACAGGCUGCCUCAUCACUCCUCAUGCAUGUGUGUGUGUAUAUAUAUAUAUGUAUAUAUAGGCCUCCUUUCUCUUGGGAAUAAUGAAUGAAGCUUGAGAAUUGUUUUUCAUGCGAUUGUUCAUUCUAAAAUGCAAAACUAAGAGUCUGUCGCUGAAGUUUCCUGAAUAUGCAUGUUUUUCAUGCGAUAGUUCAUUCUAAAAUUAUAAUAUAUGUUGUUAUCUAUUUUUUUGGGUCCUCAAAAAAACAUAAAAUAAAAAAUUGUUGAAAAAAAUUAAAAUAAUAUAUCAGUAAGGAAAAAAUACGAAUGCUCAAAAAAUAGCAAUCACUAUUUACAGAAAGUAAGGUUCCUAUCAACUUUCCUUGUUGACUCAAAAUAAAAGCAAGAAAGCAAGGCAAAGUAAUAAUUACUCCAAGCACUAAUGACUUUGCACUUAUAUAUCGUUUUUCGCCACCCAAAAAAGAGCACUGAGUGUUGGAAACACGGCAAUAUUAAUUAAUUUCCGAUAUUAAUUAAAUAAAGAAGAGAGAAAAAGACAAUUCAUAAAACUAAAAAAAAAAUUAUUAGAAAAAAAUCAAAAAAAUAUAUUAGUGAAAAAAAAAUAUCAGAAUGCCAAAAAAAAAAAUAGCCAUCACUAUUUACAGAAAGUGAGCUUCCUAUCAACUUUUGACUCAAAAUUGUGCAAAAUCAUGCCCCCACUAGUCGUUGUUGCUAGACUAAGCUUUUUGUGAGUGUGGUUAUGGUUAUUUUUUAAAUUAUUUUUAUUUAAAAAAGUAUGUUAAUAAUAUUUUUUUUGUUUUUAAAAAAUUAUUUUUGAGAUUAAUACAUCAAAAUAAUUUGAAAAAUAAAAAAAAAUAUUAAUUUAAAAUAAAAAAUUUAAUUUUUUUAAAAAAUUAUUUUUAAAACGCAAUGGAAGACUCCAAUGAAAUGCAAGGCAAAGUAAAAAUGACUUUGCACUUGUAUAUCGUUUUUCACGACCGAAAAAAGAGCACUGAGCGUUGGAAACACGGCAAUAUUAAUUAAUUUCCGAAAUUAACAAAGUCUAUGUGAGGGAUGUGCAGCAAGUCAAUGUGCUCAUUCGAACUUCCUUUGUAGCUUGUUUUGUGGUAACUAUACUUUUUAUAUUAUCACAUUAUAAUGUAAAAACCAGUUAGAAACAUGACAGUAUUUAUUUUUUAUUAAAAAUAAAUUUUAAAAAAUAAAAAAAAAUAUUAUUUCCAUGUAUUUUCAAAAAAUAAUUACUUUGUCUUUCAAACUUACUGAAUUCAUUAUAUCGUUGAGUUGGAAUAUAAAAGGUGGGUAAGAUUGGAUGAUAGUGGCCAAUGCAGACAAAGUGAGGAUCAAACUUGUAGAAUAUGACUGGUUUCGCUUUAACUACUCCGGCAUUUUAUAUUCCAUGGAAGGGAUUCAACGAGCUCUGUCCCCUCCCCUUCUCUGGACUGGUCAAGAGUGUCUUUUACCUCUCAAAUUAGGACAGCAAUGCAAAGGAAAGGCAUGUCUCCAUGGAUGUCGUCAUUUGGUUGCUUAAUUUUGAAGCUCUUCACUUGAGUCCUCCUUUAGAUUCUUGUUAUUCGUGCCAAAUUUAAAUCAUUCUUAUUAAAUCCAAUAUAUAAGCUAGAUUUUACAAAAAGAAAAAAAAUUAAAAAUUAAUUAACAAAUUCUCAUUCUCUUUCAAGAAACUGUUUCUUAAUUUUUGUUGAAAGUCAAGGAUUUGCAACCACUCUUCAUUUUGUGAUCUGUCCGUUACCUUACAAAACAAAUUGAAUACAAAACAGUCAUCGAUUCAUUACACGGUGCUUAAGACACGUCAACUGGGAAUGAAACUCGGUUAAGUAUAUUAAUUAUUAAAUUUAAAGAGAAGUUUGAAUACAGGGGAAGAAUGAGAAAUAGAAGAGGAUUGAUGGUCAGGUUAUAUAUUAAUUAUUAUUGAUGAAAUUACUGAUAGAAUUAUUUUGUUUGUCAUUUUUAUUGCAAUUUUAUUGGUAUUUUUGACACGUCACUGUACGGACAACCUGGUUUGAAUCCGACUGUAAUUAUAUUAGUAAACUAGUCCACAAAAACUUACACAUCAUCGCAUAACUUGCUUUUUUAUUUUUCAUAUUCUGUUUAGUAUUCUCUCGGUAUUUAUCGACAUAGUGUUUCUAUCAGUAUAUACCGACAGAGUUAAAGAUAGAAAAUUUUCCAACUUUCCAUUGACAUUGGCAAGAUAUAUAUUCCUUGUUGACUUCAAAUUGUGCAAACUGAAUUGUUGUUUCUUGGCACCAAUGACUUCGCACUAAUAUAUACAACGUUUCUCAUGAUACAAAAGUCUUUUCAUUCCUUGAAUUGAUUUUUCCUUUUUCUAUUCUAAAUAAAAAAUAAUUUAAACUAUGAAAUUAUGUGUACAUAAAAAAUAAUUUUUUAAGAAUUUAUUUUUUAUUUUUAAUAUUAGUAUAUUAAAAAUAUAAAAAAAUCAAUAUUAAUUUUCUAAAUGGAUUAAAUAGUGUUUUAGGGGUUGUUUAUUUUUCAUAAUCUUAGAUAUUCUGAAAUUAACUUUUUUGUUGAGAGUAAGUCUAUGUUCUAAUUCGAACUUUCUUUGUAACUAUAUUUUUUAUAUUAUUACAUUAAAAUAAUGUAAAAACAAGUUUUUAUUAAAAAUAAAUUUAAAAAAAUAAAAAAUAUAUAUUUUUUAAUUAUCCAAAAGUUCCUAGCUAUCAACCUUCCUUGUGGACUUGGUUGGUAAUGUGUAUCAGCCCAAAAAGUCUUUCUCAGCGUCAACAAGGAAAACCAAUCUUCAUUUUCUCAGAAAGUAUGGAACUGAGGGUUGAGUUAUUCAUUUGCAAAUAUCUCCACGCUAGGAGAGCUCCCUUUGCUGAUUACUAAACAAGAGUAUAAUAUGUAAAAACUUGAUAUCGAUAUAUAAAAAUGAUAUAAUAAUAUGCUAGGAAUACGAUAAUAUUGAUUUCUUGUUAAAAAAUAAAUUUUAUAAAAUAAAAAAAUAUAAAAUAUUAUUUUAAUAUAUAUUUUUAAUAAAAAAUAUUUUAAAAAAUAAUCUCCACCGUACUCUAAGAAUAAAAAUACCACAAUAUUGAUUUCCUCAAUGAAUUAAAUAGUGUUUCAGGGGUUUUUCUUAAAUUCACUAAUCCUUUUAGUAUUAAAAGUAAUUAAAUAGUUAUUUGACAAAUUUUGAUGAGGCUUAAUUCAAUAAUAUUUAUAAAAAAAACAACACUUUUCUGGGUUAUCAAUCUUUCAAUUUAUAUACCUUGAUUUUUUCUUUAUCUAUUUUAAAUAAAAAAUAAUUUAACAUUGAGAUUAUGUAAACAAAUAAUUUAAAAAUAUAUAUACAAUAAAAAAUAAAGAUUGUAAACCUUUUAUCUAUAUGGUUCUGGGAGUAUUUAUAACCCCUGAACCUUGUUAUUUUGAUGGAGUUGAGAGGCUGGAAAGUCAUUUCUUUUUUAUAGCAUUAAUAAAUGAUAAAUAUCUCUUACAAAAUAUUAAGUGAUGAACAAAUACCUCUUGCACAAUAUUAAUGUGGGAUAUAUAUAUCCAUGGCAAUAAAAAUAUGAUAAGUUUUUAGAAAAAUUUUAUAUACCUAGGAAUAUAGGAAGAUAAAUAUCCUUAACUUUAAUAUUUUAUAUUAAAAGUUAUAAGAAUAAACAAACGAAACCUUAUAGCCUAUCAAGUAGCUCGGUCCCUUAGUAGACUAAGACAGUGUUCGGCAUUGCGGUCGGAAAGUAUUUUUAAAAAAACUUAAAUUUUUUUUAUUUUAAAUUAAUAUGUUUUUAAUGUUUUUAGAUCAAUUUGAUGUGCUGAUGUCAAAAAUAAUUUUAAAAAAUAAAAAAAUAUUAUUUUAAUAUGUUUUUAAAUAAAAAGUAUUUUAAAAAAUAACUGUUAUUAUAUUUCCAAACACCUGUGAGUGGUGAAAACGCGAUAAUAUAAAUUAAUUUAUGGAAAACAUGGAUAUAUAUAGACUAUGAAGUUAGAGAAUCAAAUUUUCAGAUAAAGCCUUAAUUAAUGAAAUUAAGUUAGAUCUUCUCCGAUGUGCCUUUAAUUUAAUCGGAGCAAAGAAAGACUAAUUUGUUCAUGAGCGCACAUAAUUGUUAGUAUUAAAAAUGCAACAGAAACAUAAUAUGAACAAUAGAAAAUAAAGUAAAAAUAAAAUUGUGCAGAAUAAUGUCCCACUAAUUAAUUGUUGUGUCUAGACGGAUGGAAACCAAGGCAAAGUAAUAAUUACGCCAAGCAAUGACUUUGCACACAUAUAUAAUUGUUUUUCACGACCCAAAAAGGUCUUUUUUAAUUAUCCAAGAGUUCCUAUCAACUUUUCCUGUGUACUUGGUUGGUAAUGUGAAUUAUCAGUGUAUUUUUUUUUUAAUUUUUUUUAUUAUAAAUAUAAUAAACAAUAUUACUUUUUUACAUUAACACAUCACAAUUAUAAAAUUAAAAUCAUUUUAAAAAAAAUUAAGAAGAUUAUAGUUUCUUUCUCAGCAUCAACCAAUCUUCAUUUAGUCUUCAUCACCCUACCUUUAAACCUUCUAGAAAAACAUACUUAGGCUCAAAAUUAAUUUUUCAAAAUGUGAUGGGCAGCAAGUCUAUGAGUUUGUAGAUACAGUUUGUGCUCCUUCUUUGCAGCUCGUCUGAUGGGAAUUGUAUGCUCUUGGGGACUUUUACCCUUCUAUGCCUUGUUGGCUAAUGAUAUUAAGAAUCUCAAAUUAUGCUUCAGACAUCAAUAUGGAAAUUCAGCAAAUUUUUAAGAGUCAAAUUAUAAUUUUGUAAAAUUAAAAGAUCAAAAUAAAAAUAUCAUAAAUUCAUAACUACACUAAAAUUUUACUCUUAAUUCAUCUUUAAUUUUUUCUGGAAUCUUGGAUUAUGCUCUAGGAAUUAAUUUGUAAUUUUUUUAAAAGUUCAAGAAGUAAAAAUGUAUUUUAAGGAAGCGUAAGGAAGCUGACUUUUUUAAUUUUUCUCACUGCUGAGAGGAGAAUUAAGAAAGCUUUAUGCAUGGAGUGCGAAACAUCCAUGUAUAGCUGAGUGCUGACUAGAAGCGAGAAAAUAAUUAAUUUGAAAUAAAAAAAUAUUUCAAGUUUUUAAAAAACACGCUGGAUGCAAUAUCAAAUAUACCUAUCAAUAAUAGUAAGUAUUGAAAAUACAGCAUUAUUAAUUUAUGGAAAUCAUUGAUAUACUGAUAAAUUGACUGAGAAUAAUACCUCUUUCAGGAUUUAAAAAUUAAAAAAAAAAGCAAAAAUAAAAAACUGCAAUAUGUAUUCCCAUCACUGUUUACAGAAAGUAAGGUUUCAUCAAAAGUCUUAAUUGAAGAGACGAGUUUAUUUAAAAAUAUAGUUAUGAUUAUUUUUUAAAAUAUUUUUUAUUUAUAAAUUUAAAAUCACCAAAAUCAUAUUACUUUAAUUUACAUAAGAUCACAAGGCCAUGAAGGUUUAAUUUACAUGUCUGGAAUCUUUAAAGUGGGGGCCACCUUCUCAUUAAUGGCUCACCAAGCAUGAUCAUUGCUUGAGCGACAACAUUUAUUACUAUUAAUUAAUUAUUAACAUGUACUAAAAAGCGGGGCGGAUUCAAUGCACCCAUGCCAAAUUCUUUUUUUUCCUAAUUUUCUCAGUAGAUGGUUGAAAUUCUUUGUAUUUAUUUGAGAUAUAAAGGUUUUUAUAAGAUUUUAAAGCUUCAUUAUGGAUUAAUUUGAUGAAAUAUGUUUUAAUUUGUAAUAUUAAAAAACAAUUAAAAAACUAAUAACCAUAUUUUAAAAAAAAAUCUAGCGGACCUAUCUUAAAUUUGCAUAAAAAGUUACAUAUCUAUGCGGCCUAGCAGGAUUAAUCCUUACAUUUCAAUGUGAGAAAAGUAUGAAAUGUUAACUAAUUUUUACUCGUACACGGUUAUGAAAUUUGUUAUAGGAAGUAAAUAAAAAAACAUAUAUUUAAUUUAAUUUUUCAUUAAUUUAAUAUUAAAAAAUAAAAAUAAAAACAGAAUUUAACUAAAAAAACAACUCAACACAAGCUUAUUUAUCAAACUUGGAUUGUGAAACUAAGAUAAUCCUAUAAAAAGAUAUCGAAAUAAUUUAUUAAACUCAAUUCUUAAUCAACCAAAAUUUUAAAAAUAAUAUUAAAACAAUAAUAAAAUAUCACACAAAAACUCAUGAUUCGGGCCAACUAAUCAAAUGCAUGUCUUGGAUUAUAAGACUAAGAUAACUUUAUAAAAUACAAACCAAAAUAAAUUAUUAAGUCUAAUUUUUAAUUAACCUAAUAUUGAAAAAAAAUCAAUUAAAAAAAGAACAAAAAAACACUCAAGUCAACCAGUUAAAUCUACUAGCUAAAUCAAAAACCUUGAUAACCUCAUAAAAAAUAAAAUAUUUUUUUUAUUAUAAAACUUAAUUCUAAAUCAACUUAAUCCAAAGAUUGCUUUGCCCACUGAAACAUAAUUUCCAAGAAAUUCAAGCCUCAGUAUAUAGGAAGAAAACUCCUUAAUAAUUUACGAUCGUAGUUUACUCACAGCUUAAGCAAGUGGGGAUGCAGAGUUAAAGAGUCAUCAUCACCUUCUUAUGUCCACUUCAAUCCAGUCUACAGUCAACACGUUCUGGCAAUAGCUUUAUUGAACAAAAUUUGCUUCCUCCCAUGCAAGUAAUUUAAUUUAAUUAAAAAAUAAAAUUUAGCAAUGAGAUUUAUGCGAAGAUUGCUUUGCCCACUAAAAUGUAAUUUCCAAGAAAACAUCGGAAGAAAACUUGUUAAUAAUUUACGAUCGUAGUUUACUCACAGCUUAAGCAAGGGGGCAUGCAGAGUUAAAGAGUCAUCCUCACCUUCUCAUGUCCACUUCAAUCCAGUCUCCAGUCAACACGUUCUGGCAAUAGCUUUAUUGAACAGUCAACCCACUCUUUCAGCAUCAACAAGGGAGAACCACUCUUCAUUUUGUGAUCUGUCCGUUACCUUACAAAACAAAUUGAAUCCAAAACAGUCAUCGAUUCAUUACACGGUGCUUAAGACACGUCAACUGGGAAUGAAACUCGGUUAAGUAGCCUGUGAUAUUGCCAAUAUUCUGACGAAAUCAAAGUCACUGGUUGAAGCAUGAAACAAGUUUCCGAGAAAUUCAAAGCCACAAAAUGGGAAGAAAACUUGUUAAUAAUUUACGAUCGUAGUUUACUCACAGCUGAAGCAAGGGGGCAUGCAGAGUUAAAGAGUCAUCCUCACCUUCUCAUGUCCACUUCAAUCCAGUCUCCAGUCAACACGUUCUGGCAAUAGCUUUAUUGAACAGUUGCUAGAAAACUGACAAACAAUGGAGAAUUAAUGGAGUUUGAAGGUUCUUGCACUCAAUUCGAUGCUGUGGGAUUGGUCGUCCUAAAAGGUCUUUCUCUUUAGCAUCAACAAGGGAGAACCACUCUUCAUUUUCAUAUCUGUCCGUUACCUUACAAAACAAAUUGAAUACAAAACAGUCAUCGAUUCUGUAAUAUAUAAUGCGCGCAUUCAGCAAAGUUUGAGAGUGCAGCCACUACAAUCAGAUGCUAGUUAAUGCCUUAAAGCCUGCAAGUUAUCAUCCCUUGUUUCCCAUCCCAUAUAUAAUAUUACUGAUCAUGCUUAUAUCAGUAAUAUUGUUUUAUUUUUAAAUACUUUUCUUGCUUAUCAAUCUUUCAAUUUAUAUACUUUGAUUUUUCCUAUUUUUCCUUUUUUCUUUUUCUAUUUUAAAUAAAAAAUAAUUUAACUAUGAGAUUAUGUAAAUAAAUAAUUAAAAAAUAUUUAUGCAGUAAAUAAUAAAAAUUAUAAACUCUUUACUAAAUGAUUCAAAGAAUAUUUAUAACCCUUGAACCUUAUUAUUUUGCUAGAAUGGAGGACCUGAAGAGUUAUUUUCUUCUUAUAGCAAUAAUAAAUGAUAGAUAUCUCUUACACAAUAUUAAAUGAGAAACAAAUAUCUCUUGCAAAAUAUUAAUGAGGGAUAAAUAUCCGUUACAAAAUAUUAAUAGUGAUGGAAAUAUAAUAGGUCCUUAGAAGAUUUUUAUACUACUAGGGAUAUAGAAAAAUAUUACUUGAAACUAAUAAAUUAAUCCCAAUUAUAGAACAAGAUGAUCAUGAUAUUGGCAUUAAAAAGUUGAUAUUUCAAAUCUAAAUUAUCAAUGAUUUGAAAUUUAUCAAACAUGAGACUGUCAAAUAUUUAGGAAGAAUUUUAUACAUCUAGGACAAAAUAUCACUUAGACAAUACCACACCCUUUUAUAUUAAAAUUAAUAAAAAUAAACAAAUAAAAUCUUGUAGCUCAACAUAUUGCUUAUAAUACUAAUUAAAACUUAUUUUUUAGCUCAUCUAGCAGUAAUCAUAAAAGCAUUAAAUUAAUAUUUUUUUAUAUGUGUUUUUUUAUAUGGUUUUCAAUGCUUUUAAUAUGUUGAUGUUAAUUUUUUUUUGAAAACUUGUUAUUUUGAUAUAUUUUUAAUUGAAAAAUAUUUUUUAAGAUUUAAUAAUUAAAAAAUAAAGUAAGAAUAAAAACCUUGGAAAUAUGUAAGGUUCCUAUCAAAUUGACUUCAAAUUGCGCAAACUAAAUUGUUGUUUAUUGGCAAAGAAAUAAUUACGUAAAGCAAUGGGGGCACUAACGACUUUGCACUUAUGGAUCAUACUCUUUGCGUGCGCUCGGUAAUGUAUAGCAGUUUAAUUAUUUUUCAAAGGUAUAUUUUAAUUCAAAAUAUAUUAAUAUGAUAUUUUUUAAGAUUUAUUUUUAAUUUUUAAUAUGAGCAUAUUAAAAUCAUAAAAAAAUAUUAAUUUUCUAAAUGGAUUAAAUAUUGUUUUAGAGGUUGCUAAUAUUUAUUAAAUUAAUUAAUCCUUUUAGUAUUAAAAAUAACUAAAUAGUUAUUUGACAAAUCUUGAUUAGUAAUAUUGUUUUUUUGAAAUAAUUUUCUUGCUUAUCAUUCCUUCAAUUGAUAUAAUUUGAUUUUUCCUUUUUCUAUUUUAAAUAAAAAAUAAUUAAACUAUGGGAUUAUGUAUACGUAACUGAAAUAAAAAAUUGAUAAGCAAAGUCAUCUUCACUGUUAUAUGUCCAAUCCAAUCCAAGCAAUGGAGCACUAAUGACUUUGCACAUAUAUCGUUUCUCAUUACCUAAAAGUCUUUCUGUGUGAUUCAUAAUGUUGUGCAAUAUAUUUUUCAAAUGUAUUUUUUAAUUGAAAAUAUAUUUAAUUCUUUUUAAUUUUAAUAUAAACACAUAUAAAAUAUUUAAUUUAAUGCUUUUUUAGACAAUGUGUUUUUAUAAAAAAAAAAAAAAAAAGAUACCACAACACACAUUUCAUUAAUGAGAAUAAGAAAUAUCUUAUGUUAAUUAAAUAUUGAUUUUCUGAAUGGAUUAAAUAUCAUUUCAGGGGUUGUUAAUUUUCUUAAAAUUAAUUAAUCCUUUUACUAUUAAAAAUCAUGUGGGGGAUAGAAAGUUGUUGGAAGAAAAAGAAUAAUUAUUUUCAGCUGAAAUCAGUUGUGCCCUUCUGUCCUUUUUCUUCCCUCUUUCCCUUCCUUUUAGGCUCCCCUUUGCAUGUCAUGCCCAGGUUAAUGACUUUUAUUCUAAUCUUAAGCAGAUGCUACCAUGGAAUUACAGAGAUUUAGGCAGUCUUUGUAGAAGGGGGGCUGCCUGCACAAAACUAUGUUAGUUCCAAUGAUAUUGAAGUUUUUUGUUACUGGGAAACUAAAAUUUAUAAUUAUACGAACACCUUAGUCAAAAGUAUUUGGAGUGGGUCUAAUGUUAACUAGAAUGGUAUAGUUUCUUAGCAAUUUUAGUCAAGUUAUUGUAUGUAUGAAUUAUAUAUAAACUGAUUAUUCUGACUAGUAGGAUUCUGUUUUGAGUUUUUUAGUGUAGAUAGGUGCUUUAAUCGGUGUUUGGGAUAUAGGGGAGUGAUUGCUUGUGCCGAAUGAGAUGGGAUUAAGUUUCCAGUUUUGCUGGGAUGAAUGGAGUUGAAACAGAUUGAGUUGUUUGUUGAACUUUUGAACUGGUGGGUUGGAGUUUAGGCCUCUGGGUUGUUGAGAAGUUCGAAUUCUUGUGUGACAAUGGAGAUGGGGGCUAUGAGAUUAAGAUUGUGAUGAGGGAUUAGGGGAUUUGGGUGUUUUAGUGAAGAUGGUACUUGCUACAACCAACCGACCUUCAGAACUCGAUGAAGCAAUCCUCUGGCGUCUUCCUCAGGCCUUUGAAAUUGGGAUAAGUUGUGCAAACACAUCAUGACAUUAUGAGAACAUCUUUCUCAAUUGUAUUGAAUGAUUACUUUAUACCCACAUCCGAUUAAAGAAGAUAAAAUGCAACAACAAAAACCAUCUUCAGCAUCCAAUUAUGUCCAUUCAAUCUAAAACCAUCCAAUCUUGGGUCAGUGAGGAAAUUAGCGAGGGUUUAACCAUUAUGUUCAAUGCGCUUUUUUUUUAAUUGAGAACAUCAAGAACUGACUUCGUGCUUAAUAUAUCGGCUUGCUUGCUUACUGGAAUUUCAGUGCAUGAAUGGACAUGCUGCUUGCUUUUCAGUUCUUCGAUUUCAGUGCAUGAAUCGAAAACUUGCCAAUCACCAAUGUUGACUGAUUUUGUUGAUGAUUUUGGCUCUGUGUAAGAGUUGUGGAACAUUGUUUGUACCUGUUGAGAUGGGUUUGUUACACUUUUAAUAGUUAUUUAUGACUUACAAGUUAUCAGAAUUACUUUAUUUUGCUUGCAAAUAUUGCUGCUGUUAUGAGAACUGAAUCUGUCAGUCGAGUGUUGUUCUUUUAAGUUACUCGCUGGUUUGUAGAGCAAUUUGUUCAUAACACUAUAAAUCUCAAAAUACUCCCAGAAAGGGAGAUUGAAUUAAGUGAUCAAGAAUAAGCAAAUGUUCAUAACUCAAUAAAACAUAAAUGAUUUUAUAGUUAACACAAGCUAUUGCUUGCUUGACCUAUUACAUGCAUGGAAUCUUUUUCGCAGAAGUAACACCCAAACCAUUUGAUAUCUUGUUUGUAAAGGGAGUCCAAUACCAUGAAUCUGCCACUCAAGUGUUGUUUAAAUGUCAAAUCCACUUGAUAUCUUGUUUGUACUGUAAAAUUAGAAAGGUAAGACUGAUCAAAUAAAUUAUAGAGAAAAGAUAGCCUAACAAGAACUGUGAACAUAAAAUUUGAAAACUCAAAUACUCGCAAAACUUACUAGAAAAUAUCAAUUGCAUUAUCUAGUUUCUUCGAGCACCACAUCUGUCAACAUUCUUCUUUGUUUUCUUGCUCUUGAGAUUCCAUAUAUCUUCAACCAUCCUAAAAAACCAUGAAGGUUUUUUUGUUCUAAACACAACGUAUCCUGUUGCAACUCCGAACACAAACCCACAUACAUACCCCAUUGUCACAGCUUUCCAUCCAAAUCCAUCUCCAAACAAUGUUGAAUCAUCUCCUUCAUCAAAGCUUGAUGGCAGCAAUGAUGGUGCCUCAUCACCGUAGCAUUCUUUUAGUACUUGAAAUCCACAUAAACCCAAGUUUCCUUCAAAUGAGGUUACUGUAAAGGUGUUGAACUGCUCUCCACUUGGUAUACGCCCCUCGAACUGGUUAUGUGAAAGGUUUAGGAUUGCAAGAAAUGUUAGACCCGCCAGCUGCGUUGGAAUCCUUCCGGUAAGCAAAUUUGAAGAUAGAUCUAAUGAUUCCAAAUUGGUCAAAUUUCCUAAUGACGAUUGGAUUUGACCUGUAAGGGAAUUAUGAGAAAGGUUGAGUUGUUGGAGUGCUUUAAGCUUUCCGAUCACCUUUGGAAUCUCUCCUAUGAAAUUGUUUUUUGACAAAUCGAGUAUUCUGAUGGUACUUUGUAUCUUUGGAAACUCAAUUUCUACACCUUUCCAUGUCAUUUCUAUGGAAUAGACAUAGCUAGAGUAAUUUGUUGCAUUCAUGUAAAUCAUGAUUUGAUCCGAGGCCAUCAUUGCUUCAAGACUAUUGAAAUACCCAGUUGGCAAUGACCCACUAAAAUCAUUGUCAGAGAUGUCAAGAAUCUGUAAUUUAGAGAAGGAAUUAUGUGCAGUUGGACCCUUCACAAAACCUUGGAGUUUAUUCGAUUUUAGGACAAGAAUUUGCAGCUUUGGAAGCGUUUCUAGAAAGUAGGGAAAUGCAUCCUCAAUCUUGUUGUUGCCAAGAUCAAGAACUUCCAACAUUGUGCAAUUGAUGAUAGACGGUGGUAUUUUCCCUUCUAAUUCAUUUCCAUUGAGGUUGAGAUAUUCCAAGCUAUUAUCCUUUGAAAAAGUUGAAGGGAGGGUGCCUUGAAGAUUGUUCAUGCCUAGAUGCAAUACUGAGAGCAUGUUGCUGAAGUUCCCCAAACAUAGUGGUGUAGAACCACUCAAGCUGUUGUUGGACAAGUCCAGGACGUGAAGGAAUCUCAGCUUGCAAAUAGAAGAAGAAAUCUCACCUGUCAAUUUACUAUUGGACUCAAGAAUAAGGACUUCCAAGUUCUCUUGUUUGAAAAUCGAACUUGGGAUUGGACCACGCAAGUGGUUAUUGCUCAAAUCAAGGUAUGUCAGUGAAUCGUGUUGGAGUUCACUUAUAUUACCUAUGAGAUUAUUGUUAUGAAGGUCAAGAUAAUAUAAAGAAGGAAGAGCAAACAAAGAGGAUGGUAUUGUUCCAUUGAACAAGUUACCAUAUAAAUGUAGACUCCUAAGAUUUGAAAGGCUACUCAAAAAAUCUGGAAUCUGACCCAUAAAUUUAUUGGAAUCGAGUUUCAAGUAACGGAGAUGUACAAGGUUUUCAAGUGAUGAUGGUAUCUCACCUAUAAAAUUAUUACUUGAAAGAUCUAAAUAAAUGAUCUUUGUGAGAUUACCAAGAAGGGCUAGAUCUGACCUUAUAAUGUUACAAUUACGAAGAAAUAUAUAUUCUAAUGACUUUAGAUUACUGAUUAAGUCGUUUUCUAAAUAAACUGAAAUUCUUGUAUUAGAAAGAUCCAAUAGAGAGAGGACAUUACUCAAAUUGGACGAAGGAAAAGAGCCAAUGAGGCCUUCGUUGUAUGACAGAUCCAGUAAUUCAAGGUUUGGGAGGAGAAAGAUAUUACCUGGGAAUUUCCCCUGCAAUCCACAACUCCAAAGGGAAAGAGAUGACAGAGAAGAGGACAGAUUCGUCAAGGAAUUAAAAAUUUUUUGUGAAACCAAAGACAUAUUUACAUAGCCCAAAUCCAGUUCUCUUAGCUUGGUUAGGUUUUGAACAAUCUUGUGAAAAGAAAUUGGUUCUAGACUUAGAUAGUUGUUGGAAGAGAGACCAAGGGAAACCAACUCGGUGAGUUGCUUAAAAUCAUAUGGAAUUGAACCAGUAAAAUCGUUCCCUCCAAGAUCCAAGUACUGCAGGUGCUUAAAUUUCCCCAUUGAGGAUGGGAGUUUUCCUUGCAAUCUACAGUGAUUGAGUUUGAGCGAUGACAGAGAAGAAGACAGAUUCAUAAAGAAUCGGGAACAACUAGUGACAUGUUUACCCAACUCAAAUCGAGUUCUCUAAGCUUGGUUAGGUUUCGAACAAGCUUGUCAAACGAAAUUGGUUCUAGACUUGGAUAGAAGUUAAAAGAGAGACGAAGUGAAACCAACUCAGUGAGUUGAUCAAAAUCAUAUGGAAUUGAACCAGUAAAAUCGUUCCCUCCAAGAUCCAAGUACUGCAGGUGCUUAAAUUUCCCCAUUGAGGAUGGGAGUUUUCCUUUCAAUCUACAGUAAUUGAGUUUGAACGAUGACAGAGAAGAAGACAGAUUCAUCAAGGAAUCGGGAACAACUAGUGACAUGUUUACCAAACUCAAAUCGAGUUCUCUAAGCUUGGUUAGGUUUCGAACAAGCUUGUCGAAAGAAAGCUUGUCAAAAGAAAUUGGUUCUACACUCACAUAGUCGUUCCAAGAGAGAUCAAGAGAAACCAUUUUGGAGAGGUGAGAGAUUUCUGACGGAACUUGGCCUGCAAGAUCUGAACCACUUAGGUUAAGAUGUGUUAGAUUGGAGAACUGGCCAAAUCGAGAAGAAAUAUGGGAGGAGUUGAAAUCAUUGAAAGAGAGGUCGAGCUGUUGAAGAUGAUGGAGAGAGAAGAGAGAAUUAUUGGGAAGGAGGGUGCCGUAAAGCAUGCUGCAAGAGAGGUCCAGUGCAGUGACAUGCCCGGUUUUCAGGUCACAAGUGACCCCAUCCCACAAGCAGCAGUCUGUUCCCUCUUUCCAUGACCCUGUCUUGGGAUAUUGAUCAUAUUGAUAGUUUCUAGCAAACCAGAAAGGAGAACUCUGAAUGGAGAAGGAUAGUUUGAAUUGAAGGAGAGAAAGAGAUUGGCGAUGAGCACACAAAUGAGAAGAAGAGGAGGAGUAAUUUGAGGAGAGUGGAGAUGAAAUUGUUGAAUGGAAAUGGAAGAGAAGCAGAAUGAAAGAGAGAGAUUGAGAGAGGCACGGUAGUGAAAACCCCAUGUUGGCUGGCCUUACAGGAUUCGAAAGUAUAACUGGGAAUUAAAGAUGAGAAGUAAAGAAAGGCAUUAUUAGUAGUAUUUAUAGACGAAAUCAAAGUGACUGGUUGAAGCAUUAAACAAGUUUCCUUAGCUGAAAGAGAAUCGGAGCAAAGAAAGACUAAUUUGUUCAUGAGCACAUAUUAAUUGUUAGUAUUAAAAUACCUUUUUCAGGAUUUAAUAAUUAAAAAAAAUAAAGAAAGAAUAAAAACCGAUGGAAAUAUGUAAGGUUCCUAUCAACUUGAUUCCCUGUUGACUUCAAAUUGUGCAAACUGAAUUGUUGUUUCUUGGCACCAAUGACUUCGCACUAAUAUAUAUAACGUUUCGAAUGAUCCAAAAGUCUUUUCAUUCCUUCAAUUGAUAUACUUUGAUUUUUCCUUUUUCUAUUCUAAAUAAAAAAUAAUUUAAACUAUGGAAUUAUGUAUACAUAAUUGAAAACAAAAUGAUAAUCAAAGUCAGUGAAUAUUUCACGCGAGGAGAAGUCCCUAAAUUCACUAAUACAAGUGCUAAUAAAUUGAGGUGCCGGACGUUAAUUAAAAAAAUAAGAUAGUUAAUUAUGAAAUAUUUAUAAUAAGAUAAAAAAAAAAGAUUUAUGCGAAGAUUGCUUUGCCCACUAAAAUGUAAUUUCCAAGAAAACAUCGGAAGAAAACUUGUUAAUAAUUUACGAUCGUAGUUUACUCACAGCUUAAGCAAGGGGGCAUGCAGAGUUAAAGAGUCAUCCUCACCUUCUCAUGUCCACUUCAAUCCAGUCUCCAGUCAACACGUUCUGGCAAUAGCUUUAUUGAACAGUUGCUAGAAAACUGACAAACAAUGGAGAAUUAAUGGAGGUUGAAGGUUCUUGCACUCAAUUCGAUGCUGUGGGAUUGGUCGUCCUAAAAGGUCUUUCUCUUUCAGCAUCAACAAGGGAGAACCACUCUUCAUUUGUGUAGAAAGCAGAACUACUAAUGGAAAAUUUUGAAUUGAAGGAGAGAAAGACUUAAUUUGUGUAGACUUAAGUUUGGUAUUGACGGUUCAAUCAUAACAUGGGCUAAAUCCACUCACUUGACAAGUGUUGAUCAUAAUACAAAUUAAUAAUAAUUAAUUAUGUCAUAAAUACAAUUAAAAUUAUAGAGAUUAAAUGUAUAGUUUGCAAAACUACGCACUAGGUUGAACCAUGAUUGAACCACAAUGGUAAACAUUAAUUUAUGGAAAACAUUGGUAUACUGAUUAAUUGAGUGAGAAUAAUACCUCUUUCAGGAUUUAAAAAUUAAAACAAAAAAGCAAAAUCAUGCCGCCUAAGUAGUUGUUGCUAGACUAAAGGACACCAAGGCAAAGUAAUAAUUACGCCAAGCACUAAUGACUUUGCACGACCGAAAAAAGAGUACUGAGUGUUGGAAAUUAACAUUGUUGUUAAUUAUAAUAUGAAUUAUAUAAAAAUUAUAAUUUAUGUUGUUGUCUAUUUUUUUUGUCCUCACAAAAAAAAAAAUAUAAAAUAAAACAAAAUUUUUGAAAAAAAUUAAAAUAAUAUAUCAGUAAGAAAAAAAAUACGAAUGCUAAAAAAAUAGCAAUCACUAUUUACAGAAGGUAAGGUUCCUAUCAACCUUCCUUGUUGACUCAAAAUUGUGCAAAAUCAUGCCCCCACUAAUUACGCCAAGCACUAAUGACUUUGCAUUAUUUAUCGUUUUUCACGACCCAAAAAAGAGUACUGAGCGUUGGAAACACGGCAAUAUUAAUUAAUUUCCGAAAUUACCAUUUUUGUUGAGAUCAAGUCGAUGUGAGUGAUGUGCAGCAAGUCUAUCUGCUAAUUCGAACUCUAAGAAUACGAACACGACAAUAUUGAUUUCCUAAAUGAAUUGAAUAGUGUUUCAGGGGUUGCUAAUUUUUCUUAAAUUAACUAAUCCUUUUAGUAUUAAAAGUAAUUAAAUAGUUAUUUGACAAAUUUUGAUCACGCUUAAUUCAAUAAUAUUAAAAAAAAAACACUUUUCUUGCUUAUCAAUCUUUCAAUUUAUAUACUUUGAUUUUUCCUUUAUCUAUUUUAAAUAAAAAAUAAUUUAACAAUGAAAUUAUGUAAACAAAUAAUUAAAAAAUAUGUAUACAAUAAAAAAAGAGAUUGUAAAGCCUUUACCCAUAUGGUUUCAGAAAAUAUUCAUAAUCCCUAAACCUUGUUAUUUUGAUGGAGUUGAGUGGUUAAAAAGUUAUUUUUUUCUUAUAGCAUUAAUAAAAGAUAAAUAUCUCUUACAAAACAUUAAGUGAUGAACAAAUACCCCUUGCACAAUAUUAAUGAGGGAUACAUAUAUCCAUGGCAAUGGAAAUAUAAUAAGUCUUUAGAAAACUUUUAUAUACCUAGGGAUAUAGGAAGAUGAAUAUCCUUAAUUUUAAUAUUUUAUAUUAAAAGUUACAAGAAUAAACAAACGAAACCUUGUAGCCUAUCAAAUAGCUCGGUCCCUUAGUUGACUAGCAGUGUUCAGCAUUGUGGUCGGAAAGUACUUUUGAAAAAAUUUGAAUUUUUUUAUUUUUGUUUUUACUUUAAAUUAAUAUGUUUUUAAUGUUUUUAAAUUAAUUUGAUGUGCUGAUAUCAAAAAUGAUUUUUAAAAAAUAAAAAAAAUAUUAUUUUAAUGUAUUUUGGAAUGAAAAACACUUUAAAAAACAACUGUUAUCACACUUUUAAAUACUUUUUAAAACAAGAGUGAGUGAGUGUUGGAAACGCGGCAAUAUUAAUUAAUUUAUGGAAAACAUGGAUAUAUAUAGACAACGAAGUUAGAGAAUCAAAAUUUUCAGAUAAAGCCUUAAUUAAUGAAAUUAAGUUAGAUCUUCUCCGAUGUGCCAUUUAAUCGGAGUAAAGAAAGACUAAUUUGUUCAUGAGCACAUAAUUGUUAGUAUUAAAAACGCAACAGAAACAUAAUAUGACUUUGCACGCAUAAAGUAAAAAUAAAAUUGUGCAGAAUAAUGUCCCACUAAUUAAUUGUUGUUGUCUAGACGGAUGGAAACCAAGGCAAUGGAGCACUAAUGACUUUGCACACUAAGUAAAAAUAUAUUGUUUUUCACGACCCAAAAAGUCUUUUUUAAUUAUCCAAGAGUUCCUAUCAACUUUUCCUGUGUACUUGGUUGGUAAUGUGAAAGAUCAGUGUAUUUUUAUUAAAUAUUUUUUUUAUUAUAAAUAUAUUAAAAUGAUAUUAUUUUUUUACAUUAACACAUCACAAUUAUAAAAAAAAUCAUUUAAAAAAAUUAACUUAAUAUUUUUUUAGAUAAAAAAAACAAGAUUAAGUAACCAAUAAAUUCGUUCAGUGAAUAUAUUGCAAUGAAAUUACUACUGGAAAACAGACAAAUUAAGAAGAUUGGAGUUUCUUUCUCAGCAUCAACCAAUCUUCAUUUGGUCUUCAUCACCCUACCUUUGAACCUUCUAAAAAACCAUACUUAGGCUCAAAAUUAAUUUUUCAAAAUGUGAUGGGCAGCAAGUCUAUGAGUUUGUAGAUACAUUUGUGCUCAUUCUUUGCAGCUCGUCUGAUGGGAAUUGUAUGUUCUUGGGGACUUUUACCCUUCUAUGCCUUGUUGGCUUACAAUCUUAAUAUUGAUAAGAAUCUCUAAUUAUGCUCCAGGAAUCAAUCUAGAAUUUUAGUAAAUUUUUAAGAGUCAAAUUAUAAUUUUAUCAAAUUGAAAAACCAAAAUAAACAUAUCAUAAAUUUAUAACUACAUUAGAAUUUUGCUCAUAAUUUAUCUUUAAUUUUAUCGUGGAAUCUUGGAUUAUGCUCUGGCAAUCAAUCUGUAAUUUUUUUAAACUUCAGGAAUUAAACUGUAUUUAAGGGAAGCUUAAGGAAGCUGACUUUUUUUAAUUUUUCUCACUGCUGAGAGGAGCAUUAAGGAAGCUUUAUGCAUGGAGUGCGAAACAUCCAUGUAUAGCUGAGUGCUGACCGACCACAUUUUAAACAUAAGACCAUCAAAUAGGUACUUUGGUUUACUAAGUCUCUUUUGAAUUGGGGUCAGAAGUUGAUUUUUAAAAUAUUUUUUAUUUAAAAUAUAUUAAAUAAUAUAUAUUUUUAUUUUUAAAUUUUUUUUCACAUCAGCAUUUCAAAACCAUUCAAAAAUAUUAAAAAAGUUUAAUUUAAAACAAAAAAAUAUUUCGAUUUUAAAAAAAACAUGGUUGGACGCAAUAUCAAAUACACCUAUCAAUAAGAGUUAGUGUUGAAAAUAUAGCAAUAUUAAUUUAUGGAAAUCAUUGAUAUACUGAUAAAUUGAGUGAGAAUAAUACCUCUUUCAGGAUUUAAAAAUUAAAACAAAAAAGCAAAAAUAAAAAACUGCAAUAUGUAUUCCCAUCACUAUUUACAGAAAGUAAGGCUCCAUGACCCGAAAGUCUUCAUUGACGAGACUAUGUAUAGGAACGACAGUAUUUGAUUUCCUAAUUACUGUUUACGGGUUGCUGAUUUUUCUUAAAUUAAUUCAUUCUCGUAGUGUUAAAAAUAAUUAAAUAGUUAUUUGACAAAUCUUGAUCAUGUUUAAUUUAGUAAUAUUUUGUUUUUUUUUAAAUACUUCUCUUUCUUAUCAAUCUUUCAAUUUAUAUACUUUGAUUUUCUCUUUUUUCUAUUUUAAAUAAAAAAAUAGAUAAAAAUUAUAGUAUGAAAUAGAUAAAAAUUAUAAGUUAUAAAUCCAAUUAAAAAUAUAGCAAUUAAAUGUUUAGUUUAUAAAACCACUAGCACUAAGUUAUCAUUAUCCCAAAAUAAAAAGAAAUUUAUGUAAAUGUCAAUUGCAACUCGCAUGCGGUUCCAGCUUAACCUAAAUAUAAAAAAAAAUUCAACUCGCACAAUCACAAAUAACUAGUUUUUCAGCAUCAAAAUACAAUUCACAUAAGCAACAUAUAACAUAUUCAAUCGUAAAUAAAAAAUUUAGAUUAACAAUUAACACAACAUAAUAUUUUAUAAAAAAAAUUAAAUUAACUAUACAUCUAUUUAUAAUUUUCACAACAUAUAAUAACAUAUACUAUAUCUAAUAAUCUAUCUAGCUCAUAGAAGGGUUUUGAGAACUUAAAAUUAAAAAUGAGUGGAGGCUAGUUUUUUAAUUAUUUUUUUAGCUGUGUUACUUUACCCUUUAUUUUAAUGUGUCAAAAAACAAAAAAAUCUCCAAUAAUUGAACUUUAGUUUUCGUAUAAUGACCGGCUGUAAUUUGGUCAAAAGAAUAUUUAAAGAAAACAGCCUUUUCCUCGACGUUUGAAUUGGAGCCGAGAAGGACCGAUGAUUAAAUUGUUGGAUUAAAGUGCAAGGGAAACAUAAUGGAAAUGAGAAAUUGAGUGAGGGAUAAUGAAUAAACAAUAAAGUAGUUCGUAGACUUAGCUUUCUUGACUCAAAACUCAGCAAGACCACAAAUUAUAUGUAAGCAAAAUAAUGCAGCCCUAAUGACUUUGCCUAUUAUAUCUAUAUUUUCAUGGUCCAAAAGUCUUCAUUGACUAGGAUUGGGAACACCACUGUAUUGAUUUACAUCAUAGUUAAUUGGUGUUUCUUAUCAUGAAGAAAAUUAAUUAAUCAUAUUAAAAAUAAUUAUAUAUAUAGUCAUUUGACAAGUGUUGAUUAAUUAAUCAAAUAAUCGAGAAUAUAUAAUUAAGUCAUGAAUACAAUUAAAAUUAUAGAGAAACAAAAUAUUAAGAUUUUAGAAGAAAGAGUGAAUUAAAAGAGAAGAAUUAAAUGCCAAUAACAGUUCAAUCCUUGGAGAGGAUAAUGCAUUAAUUGAGAUUAAGUCUCGUCCUUGGAUGAUCUGAGGAUGCAAAACCCGUAUUGGUCUGGUGUGUUUAGAGAAAUUCAGACCGAUAAUGAAUCUAAUCAAAUUAGAAUUUGAAGAUAUAAUUUACAAAAGGGUCUAAAACAAGAACUCUAAUCAUAUUUUAUUACUAAUAAGUUACUCUACAUUGUUUAAAAAGGAUUACAAUCCUUUUUCUAGAAUCUAUUAGCAAAACUUGAGUGUUAUCCAGCUAUCAGAUCAAAAAAUAUCUCUUUUUCCAUCAGAUAAUCGGUUUGGCAAGAAUAUAAAUAUAUUUAUUAGGCCUUUUACUUGAUUUAGUUAUAAUAAAUCUGUAUCCCAUUGAUCAUAAUCACUAUCUGAUUUAUCAGAAUCUCCGGCAUUAGAAAUUUAACGAGUUCUCCUAGAUGUUGACCCCAAUAUGUGAGCAGUAGAGUUCAUUUCAUCAAAUUAUAAAGAACGGUGAAAAUAAUUGAUUUAGGUUUUGUUAUACAUGGAUUUAUACUCCUAGAUGUUGCCUUUUAUUUUAUUCUUAUAUUUUCUGCAAUGGUUUUACAGUCUCCAGCUUAGUGAACUUCCUUGUCCGUUUAUAUCUCUGAUUUACCCCUAAACUUCAAAGCCUUAUGUUCUGGAAAACCUUGAUGGGGUGUGUAUUUUCGGGCCUUUGCCUGAUAGAACAUGAUCAACAAAUACAAUGAUCUAUUUGGCUUUCCUAAUUAGUUGGCGUUUGCUGGCUGGCUACCUCUUUGUAUUAAUUUUGGAGCAAUCAUGUAGGUUAGAUACAUCCAUUUAUUGAUAAAUCUUUUCCAAAAGAUGCAGACGCUAACAAUCUUUCAGAAACUACCUAAUAAUGCAGAGUAAAAAAAACUCAGGAACAAGAAAAAAUUGAAAGAAAGAUAUAUUCAGGAACAAGAAAAAAACCCUUGUGCCAUAUACCCUGCCCUCUCCUCAGCAUACCAUUCAUUGAAUACCCAACCCACUGUUAGAGCCUUCUAUUCUAGAUGUGAAUCUUCAGUUCAUGGCAGUCCCAAGACUGAAACACCCUGCCCCCGUGGUGUUUAUCCAUUGUUGAACCUCUUGUUGACACAACCAUAGCCAUAAGACCUCGUGUACUGGUCUUCAACCCAAGUAAAUACAGCUGGGAAGACUGACCGGCUCAGUUGGACACAUAUUAAGAAGUCCCCAACAUAAAAGGGGACUGAGAUUGCAGAACCUAUCGCUUGAAUAGCAGAAUUGAACUAUAUGGAUAGGAAAAAAGGACCAACAUAGCUCAAAUUCACUGAAUAGAGCGCGGAUGGAAGCUGUCAAUCAACAAGAAAAGUUGCAAGAAAUUUAAAAAACCUAACAUGAGAGAAAAAGCAGAACAUGAUAUCAUAGGAGGGGAAAAAGCAGCAAAAAAGAAUGACAUCAUAAGAGGAAAAACAGCUGAAUUUCUAAACAGAAAACACAGCGAAAUCCAAGGGAAAUGGGAACGGGUCAAUACUAGACACCACAUGAACAGAAGUUUCGAUCUAAUAUAAACUGAAUAGUGAUUACAAAAUUCUUUUUUCUCAUCCCUGUAAGUUUGGACGCCAACAUAGUAGUGGCUCUGAUUUUCCAUAAAUUAAGAACUCAUACAAGCAUGUUAAUACAUCUCAUUAGUUUGAGUUCACUUGAUCUCAAAUUCUGUAUCUUGCCCCUUCAGCAUGCCUGAAACCAUAGAAGGCAUGGCAUGAUCCACAUUUCCCAGCCGCACAAUUGCUUCAUGGACAGUCAGAGGUGGCAUGUCAAAGUACUUUGUGUGAACAGCCUGAAAAUGGUGUAGAUAAUGAGUCUAUGACAGACAAGAAUAAUAUGUCCAGGUGGGCAAUGGUUUACCUAGCCAAAAGCAUGCAUCAAACUUAAAGCUGGUAAGCCAUGAUUUCGAAAGAUGAAGAUGGUAAUACAUUUUCCUUGUGCAACAGUCCAUAAGUAUCUAGCUAAGAGAACCGACAUGGUAUUCACAAUAGUUCACAAGUUAUAAUGCUAAAAAAUUAUAUGCAAAUUACAUGCGCCGUAGUGAUCACCAAAUGGUGCAAUGGGGGAAAGCCCUUGUUGGGAGUAGAACUAUUCACUACAGGUCUAUAUUAAUGAACUCACAGGAAUACAUAAGACUCACAUUCGAUGAUAUGAAGCUAUGGAUAGUAACUAAAUGCAUAUAAAACAACUAAGACAACAUAAAUAAUAAACCGCGAACAAAAAUGUUAAAGAGCCCUAUCUCAUCAAGAUUGUCGUCAUCUUUUCGCUGUGAAACUGUAUCUGCAUCAUUCUCUACCUCUUGUGACAUGCAUUGGCUCCCUAACCUUCAACUUAUUAAAUCCUUUCAUGUGUCUACCAUGAUCGGACUCCUUGUCCUUAAUCUUCCUCAACUUGUUGAAUAGUUGACGACACCAAAUCAAUACUUGCUUAGAUUUCUCAGCAUCUUCCUCUGCCCUCACCACCCCAUGACUUUUAGUAAACACAGUAACCCAAAAUCACAAAAAAUCUAAAAUUGAAUUCAUAAUUUGAAGGAUACCUUUCUAAUCCUUGGGCCUUUCCCCAUCUCUCCACCUCUAAAACACAACCUUACAUCAACUGCCCGUCCAAGAUGACAAUGUUUCUGAAUUGCCUGUCCUACUUUGAUCUUUGUGGAAUUCACCAAAGAAGAAGCUAGUGAAGUAGCAGGAGUUGUUGAUGAUAAUGGCUUGUUUGCAACGAACCUAAGAGAGAAGCCGUUGGCAAAUUUUCUUAUGAGGGUUGUUUGGAUUGCUGGAAAAUGAAGGAAAAUAAUGGGGUUUUUAAAGAGGUAUCUAUUAACAAGACAAAUGGACAAGGACACGUCAGCUAAUUGAUUCAGUUGGGCCCCACUUUAUGUGGGAUGAAUCUUUAUCUGCCAAGUUCACAUUCAAUUUGUGGGAAACAUAAGACAUUAGCCAAAAAUCUAUAAGAUAAUUAUAAAUUAAGUUUAAGAACAAAUAAUUUCAUCAAUUAUAUCCAAAGUAUUCCGGAGGUUUCUCAAUUGGAUCCUUCCAUCCAUUUCUCUCAAUUUACAUGUAGAGUCUUUAAAGUGGGGGUCACCUUCUCAUCGAUGGCUCACCAACUGUCGCACGUCGGAAAACACCCGCGCGGCGUCCCCGUCCUGGCGAUGACGGUUUUUUCUCUCUGUUAUUGGAAUUGAUUUUGUUAGGAGUCGCCACCUAGUAUUUAAUUGAGGGUUACUAGGAAACCCAGGUUGACUGGUCUUAUCAGAGAUUCACGGGUAAGGGACUGAUUGUGGUUAGGGAAGGUAUUAGCACCCCUAACGCACCCUACCUGAGGUAAGCUGCUUCGUGGUUGUGAUGUGUUAAAGAAGUUUUAAAAAUUGUCUUUUCGUCGGAAUUUAGAAAUACAACUUUCGUACAAGUUUGUACUUCUACACCGAGAUCCGAUCAAAAUAUUAAAUCCUUCUUUAUGCUUUGCCGUCUCGUUGUAAAAAGAUACCUGAAAUAAAUACAAACAUGCAUUUUUUUUGUUUUCUUUCUUGCCUUUUUUAUUUUUUAUAACAUAAUAAAAAACAAGCACAAACACACAUUUUUUAUUAUAUUAUAUUUUUUUCUUUUUUUUUUCCUUUUUUUUCUUCUUUUUUCUUUUUUUCUUUUUUUUUACAUCCUAAAUACAAAUUACAAUAUUCAAAAAUAAAUAAAAAAUACAUCAAAUAAUCCAAAAUUUACAAAACAGUCCUAGAACAGUCUGAAAUUGCAAGGGAACCCUUCUGCACAGGAAUUGGAGACAGGAACAGCUGGCGGCGCGUGUUCCAACGCGCCACCGUCACUGGCGGCGCGUGAGCCCACGCGCCGCCGCUGAUGGAGACCAAAAAUCAGUGGAUCGGGCCUGUCUUCCUCCACCGGCGGUGAGAGUCACCGUCACCUGCAACAGCAAGAAAAAACACACACAAAGCAAUCGGUUUUAGUUGUUCUUCAUUUUUUCUGUGCUGCUCUUUUUCUCCGUUUUGGGGCAGAUCCGUUCGUUUCUUUUCCUUUCCUAAUCUCCUCUGUUUCGCCGCUGGGCUGGAGAAAGGAGUUGUUGGGCGGUUGGCAGGAGAGGAAGAAGACAGCGGGGGCUGCCGCUGCGCUUGGUGGAGGAGCUGGAGACGGCGCCGAAGGAGAUGAUGAAGGCUGUUGUUGGCAGCGGUGGUUGGCCUUGUUGCUGAGUGCUGCUGCCGAUGCUCUUGGUGGAGGAGAUGGAGCGCCGGCUGGAGUGGGGCUUGCUGGAGCUGGAUCGGAGUGGGAGGAGCUGCUACAGGUGUGGGUUUCUCCAGGUGUGGCCGGCGGUUCUUGAUGGAGGCGACGAGGUGGCCGGCUAUGUAGCAGCUGUGGCUUGGAGAGAGUCCGGCUGGAAGAAAAGGGAAGGGAUGAUGGCGCCGGUUUGAGGGAAAAAUGGAAGGGGAGAGGCCUUGGUCGGGUGUGUGUGUUGGUUUGAGAAAAGAAGAUGAUGGUGGAACCGGCUGCGAAAUUGGAGGUUUGUGCAGGCGGCUGAAGAGAAAACAAAACCGAAAAUCCAACAAAGAAACAGGGGGGGCGGCGGCUGCCCUGGAAGAGAAGAAGAUUAGGUUUUUUUUUUAGGGUUAGGUUUGUUCUUCUUUUUUUGUUGUCAAAAAUGCCCCCCUUGCUUAGCUGAAAAUGAAGGCUAUUUAUAGGCAAAAUAGUUUUUUCGGGCUUCAAAAUUGGUCCCUCAAGUUUUGUGUUUGGCCCCCUAAUUUCAAUCAAUUCACUUGGUAAAAAUUAAAUUGGGUCUCUUAAAAUUCUGAUUUUUUAAUUAAGUCCAAAUUAAGCCCCCAAACUUAAUUUUUCACCAAUUAAGCCCUCAAAUUAAUUUGACCCGCUUAAAGUAUAAUUAAGUCCUUGCACUUAAUUAAAUCCUUCAAUUGGACCCAAAUUAAUUCUUGAACAUAAUUAAAAUUCAAUUUGGCCCAUGAUUAAAUCAAAUUGGCCCAUUGAAAAUUUAAUUAUGUCAUUGGACUUAAUUCUUAUGCAAAUUCGUCCAAUAAUCAUUUAAUUUGACCUUUGAAUUUGCAUUUUUUCUAUUUUUGGGCGUAACAGCGUACACUUGGGCCUUGAGAUUCUUCCGAAAAUUGCAUCUUGAUUUUCGCCUAUUUUGCAGCCUUUCUUGGUCGGCUUUCUCCGCAUUUCCAGCCUUUAUUAUAUUUUUUAUUUUUUAUUUUUUUGGGAAAAAAAAUGAAUUUUGGGGAAUCACCCAAAAUUGGGUGAUGACAGUUGCCCCCCUCUUUACAAUGCUUACGGUAGAAAGUCUCGUAAGAGACUUUAGAUAGUAAGCGUUGUAAAGAAGAAAAAAAAGGAUGAGAUAUGAUUGACUCAUCUUGUUGAGGAAUGAUGAAUCCUCAGGAGGGCUAGGAAGCACACUCGGAGUAAAAACUGGAAGAGUUUUUGAAAAUUCAAAGAUUUUGCAAUGGUCGAACUGUCAUGGGUGACCUACCCGAUGAAAUUUUUUUGAGGUGGUCUCAUUGUAAAGGGUGACCUACCUAGGUGAAAAACACGAAGAUUUUAAAGUGGUGAAAAAUACAGAGAUUUUUCAAGGUGGUGAAAAUGCAAAGAUUUUCCAAAGGGGUGAAAAAUACAGAGAUUUUUCAAAGUGAGGAAAAAUACAAAGAUUUUUCAGAAGGAAGGAAAAAUACAGAGAUUUUUCAAAGGUGGUCUUGUUGUAAUGAGCGACUUGCCCGGGUGAAAAAUGAAAAGAGUUUUCAAAGCGGUGAAAAAUACAAAGAUUUUUCAAAGCGGUGAAAAAUACAAAGAUUUUUCAAAGUGAGGAAAAAUACAAAGAUUUUUCAAAAAGGGUGAAAAAUACAGAGAUUUUUCAAAGUGUUUUCAUGGGAAAAAUUUGAAGGUGGUGAGAAACGCAAGGAUUUCUCAAAAAUGGUUUUAUUGUUAUGGGCAACCGGCCCAAAUGGAAGAUGAAAAGUGUUUUGAAAGAGGUCUGAUUACAAUGGGUGACCUACCCGGGCAAGAAGACAAAAUGUCUGAAAAGGAUGACAUGAUAGGACUCGAUGGGGAACAAGGGCUGAAGAGCGCACUCGAAAGGAGGUAGGGUUAGAAAAACACGCUACCUAAGGUGGUUGUUGGCCCUAAGGCGUACUAAGAAGGAGGCAGGGUUGGAAAACGCAUUACCUAAAGUGGUUGAUGGCUCGAAGGCGCCCUAAAAAAGGAGGCAGGGUUAGAAAAACACACUACCUAAGGUGGUCGUUGGCCCUAAGGCGCACUUAAAAAGAGGCAGGGUUCGAAAACGCAUUACCUAAAGUGGUUGGUGGCUCGAAGACGUACUAAAGAAAGAGGCAGGGUUGGAAAACACACUACCUAAGAGGUUCGUGGCUCGAAGAGGCACUAAAAAAGGAGGCAGGGUUAGAAAACACACUACCUAAGGUGGUUGAUGGCUCGAAGGCGCACUAAAAAGGAGGCAGGGUUAGGAAAACACACUACCUAAGGUGGUCGUUGGCCCUAAGGCGCACUUAAAAAGAGGCAGGGUUCGAAAACGCAUUACCUAAAGUGGUUAAUGGCUCUAAGGCGCACUAAAAAGGAGACAGGGUUAGGAAACACACUACCUAAGAUAGUUGGUGGCUCGAAGAAGCACCAAAAAGGGAGGCAGGGUUGGAAAACACACUACCUAAGGUGGUUGAGGGCUCUAAGGCGCACUAAAAAAAAAGAGGCAGGGUUGGAAAACACACUACCUAAGGUGGUUGAUGGCUCGGAGGCGCACUAAAAAGGAGGCAGGGUUAGAAAACACACUACCUACGAGGGUUGGUGGUCCUAAGGCGCACUUAAAAAGAGAAGGCAGGGUUGGAAAACACACUACCUAAGAUGUGAUUAAUGGCUCUAAGGUGCACUAAAAAGGAGGCAGGGUUAGGAAACACACUACCUAAGAUAGUUGGUGGCUCGAAGAAGCACCAAAAAAGGAGGUAGGGUUAGGAAACACACUACCUAAGGUGGUUGUUGGCUCGAAGGCGCACUAAAAAAGGAGGCAGGGUUAGAAAACACACUACCUAAGAUGGUUGGUGGCCCUAAGGCGCACUAAAAAGGAGGCAAGGUUAGAAAACACACUACCUAAGGUGGUCGUUGGCCCUAAGGCGCACUUAAAAAGAGGCAGGGUUCGAAAACACAUUACCUAAAGUGGUUGGUGGCUCGAAGGCGCACUAAAGAAGGAGGCAGGGUUGGAAAACACCCUACCUAAGAGGUUGGUGGCUCGAAGAGGCACUAAAAAAGGAGGUAGGGUUAGGAAACACACUACCUAAGGUGGUUGUUGGCUCGAAGGCGCACUAAAAAAGGAGGCAGGGUUAGCAAACACACUACCUAAGAUGGUUGGUGGCCCUAAGGCGCACUAAAAAGGAGGCAGGGUUAGAAAACACACUACCUAAGAUGGUUGGUGGCCCUAAGGCGCACUAAAAAGGAGGCAGGGUUAGAAAACGCAUUACCUAAAGUGGUUGGUGGCUCGAAGACGCACUAAAGAAGGAGGCAGGGUUGGAAAACACACUACCUAAGAGGUUCGUGGCUCGAAGAGGCACUAAAAAAGGAGGCAGGGUUAGAAAACACACUACCUAAGGUGGUUGAUGGCUCGAAGGCGCACUAAAAAGGAGGCAGGGUUAGGAAACACACUACCUAAGAUAGUUGGUGGCUCGAAGAAGCACCAAAAAAGGAGGUAGGGUUAGGAAACACACUACCUAAGGUGGUCGAUGGCCCUAAGGCGCACUCAAAAAGGAGGCAGGGUUGGAAAACACACUACCUAAGGUGUGAGGGCUCGAAGGCCCACUAAAAAAGAAGAUAGAUAGGGCUAGAAAGCAUUCUAUCUAAGGUGUGAGGGCUCGAAGGCCCACUUAAAAGGAUAGAUAGGGCUAGAAAGCCCACUAUCUAAGAUGUGAGGGCUCGAAAGCCCACUCAAAAAUGGAGGUAGAUAGGGCUAGAAAGCAUACUAUCUAAAUGGUGAGGGCUUGAAAGCCCACUAAAAAAUGGAGGCAGGGUUAGAAAACACACUACCUAAGGUGUGAGGGCUCGAAGGCUCACUCAAAAAGAAGGUAGAUAGGGCUAGAAAGCAUACUAUCUAAGUUGUGAGGGCUCGAAAGCCCACUAAAAAGGGAGGCAGGGUUAGAAAACACACUACCUAAAGUGUGAGGGCUCGAAGGCCCACUAAAAAAAAAGGUAGAUAGGGCUUGAAAGCACACUACCUAAGAUGUGAGGGCUCGAAAGCCCACUCAAAAAAGGAGGCAGGGUUAGAAAACACACUACCUAAGGUGUGAGGGCUCGAAGGCCCACUAAAAAGGGAGGCAGGGUUAGAAAACACUCUACCUAAGGUGUGAGGGCUCGAAGGCCCACUAAAAAGGGAGGCAGGGUUAGAAAACACUCUACCUAAGGUGUGAGGGCUCGAAGGCCCACUCAAAAAGGGAGGCAGGGUUAGAAAACACUCUACCUAAGGUGUGAGGGCUCGAAGGCCCACUAAAAAGGGAGGCAGGGUUAGAAAACACUCUACCUAUGGUGUGAGGGCUCGAAGGCCCACUAAAAAGGGAGGCAGGGUUAGAAAACACUCUACCUAAGGUGUGAGGGCUCGAAGGCCCACUCAAAAAUGGAGGCAGGGUUAGAAAACACUCUACCUAAGGUGUGAGGGCUCGUAGGCCCACUAAAAAGGGAGGCAGGGUUAGAAAACACUCUACCUAAGGUGUGAGGGCUCGUAGGCCCACUAAAAAAGAGGCAUGGUUAGAAAACACACUACCUAAGGUGUGAGGGCUCGUAGGCCCACUAAAAAAAGAGGCAUGGUUAGAAAACACACUACCUAAGGUGUGAGGGCUCGAAGGCCCACUUAAAAAGAAGGUAGAUAGGGCUAGAAAGCAUACUAUCUAAAAUGUGAGGGCUCGAAAGCCCACUCAAAAAAGGAGGUAGAUAGGGCUAGAAAGCCCACUAUCAAAAUGGUGAGGGCUUGAAAGCCCACUCAAAAAUGGAGGUGAUGGUGAGACACUAUGUCAAGGAUGAAAGCGAUGUAUCAUGAUCAAUAUGCAUGUAUACUUACCUGAGAAAUGUAGGUCCCCUUUCUUCAUGGAGUUCCCUUUUCUACAUGGAGUUCUCUUUUCUUCAUGGAGUUCUCAUUUUCUCAAAAGUUUGAGUCUCUGAUAGUAAGCUUCGAUGGCUUUUUUCGCUCUUGCUUACUCGAGUCAUCUCUUGUGAUAUUAACCCCUAGGAAAGACUUGAUAUCAUCAUACUUCUUUGUCCUCCGCCCCUUUAUCUCAAGAGUUGCCAAUUUUGCCCAAUAAUUUCUCAGAAAGGGAAUCAUGGAGCCAACCUUACUAGGAGUUUUUGGUUGCCCUCCAACUUGAUCAUGCCCCCAAGUAUUCAAAUCAGGUUUGGGGAUAAGGCUAUAUGAAGGAAGGUUUGGUUAUUUACAAGGAGUUGUUUUCAUGCAGAAUUUUUGGAAUUUCAAAGCUAUUCCACGAACAGAAAUCAUUUUGACAUCGAUUCAAAGCAGAACUCAUUCUGACAAAAUUCAAGUGAUUCCUAUGGAGAGGUUUUCAGAAGUGAUGAAAACUUUUUGUUUUGAUUUUUGGUGAAAAAUAUGAAGUGACAUUUGGUUGGUCACAAAAGGUUGAAAUUUCAAUUUGAGGGUUAAUGAGAACCGUUUUUCGACGAAAAUGUGAAAAACACAAAGUGACAUCUGGUGGGUCACAAAAGGUUGAAAUAUCAAUUUAAGGGUUAUUGAGAACCGUGUUUCAAAGCAUUCAUUUUAUUUGCAUGAAUAAUGAUUUUGUUUCGCAUGAGAAAGCACUGCCUACCGAUCCAAAUUGCUUGCCUUUGAUUAGAAAGGGCUUGAUUAGGCACGUAAUGUAGGCUUGGGCUAUUGGCUAUGAAGAAAAGGAUAUUCGUAGGCUCAAAAGGUGUUUAAGGGACUUUAAGACUAAGGAUCACUAGUGCUUAUAUCCCAAACUCUUUUGUUCAUACACUUCUGGACCUUUGAUUUGAUUUGUAAAAUGGUCCACGGUGCCCCCCAAUGUUGGGCUUGGGCUCUUUCUCUUUGUUUUUGUUUUCUUCAUUUGAUUUUGAGCACCAUUGCAUUGACUCUUUUUUUAUGCUCAGAAUUUUGGAUCCUUUGGAUUUUUUAUGCCCCCCCAGCUUUGUAUGGGCACCUUCGAUUGAUUGAGAAUUUUGUUUUAUGCCCCCUAGUAUUGUUUGGGCACUUUCAUCGUUGAAGACUUUUUAUGCCCCCCAGUGUAGGGUGUGAUCCUAGUCAAGGUUAUUUCCAAAAAACACUACUAGGCUCAAAAGGGGACUGCAAAGGAUAUAUUUUAGCCUUGUGAGAGGAUUAUCAAAGAUGGCCUUUCUUCAUCUCAAAUGCAUGCAUUUAGGAUCGGUAAGCCUUGCUUUCAUGCGAGUAUGCAGAGUGACUUCUCAUUAUUCAUGCAAAUAAAACUCCGCUUUUGGAGUCACUUCACGGUGUUUUUGUUUUUUUGGGUUUUCUUGGUGUAUGGUUACCUCUCUAAAGAAUCACCUGAAUUUCCAGAACUUGUUUGUUUUGGACAAACACCAAUAUGAUUUCUGUUUUUGUACUACACUUUGAUUUCCCAAAAAUCCUUGUGAAAACAUAGGGUCAUGCUUGUUGUUUUGGGAAAAAGGAAAAACACGCCCAAAGAUUCUUGGCGUAAUGGUUUUGUAAGUACAAAGGUGUGCUCAAUAUGUUAUUUGCAUGAACACAAAAAAAAGAAAACACAUGAUUUAUUAACAGGAAAGGCUCAUUGGACAAGGAAAAUCUUGUGGAAUUUUAAGCCAAAUUAUCGACAAAAACUGGAAUAGGUUGAAAAAAUCAAGAAAUUUUUGCAGGCAUGGUCAAGCAGGGGUAGCCUUCGAAUUUUUUUUUUUUUUUUUUAGCAGAACAAGAACUGGCUCCAUUCUGCGGUGCAAUUCCCCUUCGGAUUGUGUUGAGGCUUUUGAUCAUGUUUGCCCCCCAGUUUCUUUGGGUUGAGUUGUUGUUGGGGUUUGAACAAAGAUGAUAGGUCAAUUGGAAGGAAUUUCCCUAGAGAUAUUUUUUGAUAUUUGCUCGAGUAAGCCAGAAGCGAGUCAAGCUUUUGUUUAGAGACUCCAACUUUUUUUUGAAAAUGGGUGAUGCUGCGAGCACACUCUGUAUCUCCAAUGUUUUUUUUUUCGCUCAAAAUUGGGUGUUGCAGACUCAUAGGGGACCCACUUUUUAUUCUGGAGCAUGCAUGAGAAAAUGUAUGAACAUGCAAUUUAUAUUAUGAACUUGCCCUUCGAGGGGUGACAUAUGAUCGUCACUUUUGUAUGAUGGAACAAGAAUCUUGAUUCUUGCCCAAACUCUACAAUGAAAAUUUUCGGAGUGACGAUCAUUCUGUCACCCAAGAUGCUUCAAGAAGGGUUCGCCCCAAUGCAGAUAAAUGAUAGCACAUACAACCUAAGGACAGGAUCUAUUCAUUAUGUGAACAUGGGUAGGUUUUCUACCUGGUCUCAAAAGGGUCUAUGAACUGCCCAGUGACCACCUCCCGUGAAGGCAGUAUAGGGGUUUACAAGGGAUGGUUGGGGCACCCUGUGACCGCCAUUACCAAGUAAACACUCAGCUCAUAGUUGGAUGUUUCACGAAUCUGAACCCCGACUGAAAGUCAUGAGGCAGACCGCUACUCCCCACCUAGCUUAGAAACUUGUGUGUGCUUUCAAAAAUGAAUACAAGUGAUGCAUGAAACAAUUCUAAAAAUGCAUGGAUAAAAUAAAACAAGACAAAAAUGGCAAAAAUUAAACACAUCAAAUACACAAAGCUUAGUCCAAUAUUGUCAGAAACAAUACCUCCCCAGUGGAGUCGCCAUUCUGUCGCGCGUCGGAAAACACCCCGCGCGGGGCGUCCGCUUCCUGGCGAUGGCGGUUUUUUCUCUCUGUUAUUGGAAUUGAUUUUGUUAGGAGUCGCCACCUAGUAUUUAAUUGAGGGUUACUAGGAAACCCAGGUUGACUGAUCUUAUCAGAGAUUCACGGGUAAGGGACUAAUUGUGGUUAGGGAAGGUAUUAGCACCCCUAACGCACCCUACCUGAGGUAAGCUGCUUCGUGGUUGUGAUGUGUUAAAGAAGUUUUAAAAAUUUUGUCUUUUCGUCGGAAUUUAGAAAUACAACUUUCGUACAAGUUUGUACUUCUACACCGAGAUCCGAUCAAAAUAUUAAAUCCUUCUUUAUGCUUUGCCGUCUCGUUGUAAAAAGAUACCUGAAAUAAAUACAAACAUGCAUUUUUUUUGUUUUCUUUCUUGCCUUUUUUAUUUUUUAUAACAUAAUAAAAAACAAGCACAAACACACAUUUUUUAUUAUAUUAUAUUUUUUUCUUUUUUUUUUCCUUUUUUUUCUUCUUUUUUCUUUUUUUCUUUUUUUUACAUCCUAAAUACAAAUUACAAUAUUCAAAAAUAAAUAAAAAAUACAUCAAAUAAUCCAAAAUUUACAAAACAGUCCUAGAACAGUCUGAAAUUGCAAGGGAACCCUUCUGCACAGGAAUUGGAGACAGGAACAGCUGGCGGCGCGUGUUCCAACGCGCCACCGUCACUGGCGGCGCGUGAGCCCACGCGCCGCCGCUGAUGGAGACCAAAAAUCAGUGGAUCGGGCCUGUCUUCCUCCACCGACGGUGAGAGUCACCGUCACCUGCAACAGCAAGAAAAAACACACACAAAGCAAUCGGUUUUAGUUGUUCUUCAUUUUUUCUGUGCUGCUCUUUUUCUCCGUUUUGGGGCAGAUCCGUUCGUUUCUUUUCCUUUCCUAAUCUCCUCUGUUUCGCCGCUGGGCUGGAGAAAGGAGUUGUUGGGCGGUUGGCAGGAGAGGAAGAAGACAGCGGGGGCUGCCGCUGCGCUUGGUGGAGGAGCUGGAGACGGCGCCGAAGGAGAUGAUGAAGGCUGUUGUUGGCAGCGGUGGUUGGCCUUGUUGCUGAGUGCUGCUGCCGAUGCUCUUGGUGGAGGAGAUGGAGCGCCGGCUGGAGUGGGGCUUGCUGGAGCUGGAUCGGAGUGGGAGGAGCUGCUACAGGUGUGGGUUUCUCCAGGUGUGGCCGGCGGUUGUUGAUGGAGGCGACGAGGUGGCCGGCUAUGUAGCAGCUGUGGCUUGGAGAGAGUCCGGCUGGAAGAAAAGGGAAGGGAUGAUGGCGCCGGUUUGAGGGAAAAAUGGAAGGGGAGAGGCCUUGGUCGGGUGUGUGUGUUGGUUUGAGAAAAGAAGAUGAUGGUGGAACCGGCUGCGAAAUUGGAGGUUUGUGCAGGCGGCUGAAGAGAAAACAAAACCGAAAAUCCAACAAAGAAACAGGGGGGGCGGCGGCUGCCCUGGAAGAGAAGAAGAUUAGGUUUUUUUUUUAGGGUUAGGUUUGUUCUUCUUUUUUUGUUGUCAAAAAUGCCCGCAACCCAAUCUUCAGCUGAAUGCNNNNNNNNNNNNNNNNNNNNNNNNNNNNNNNNNNNNNNNNNNNNNNNNNNNNNNNNNNNNNNNNNNNNNNNNNNNNNNNNNNNNNNNNNNNNNNNNNNNNAAUCAAUUCACUUGGUAAAAAUUAAAUGUGGUCUCUUAAAAUUCUGAUUUUUUAAUUAAGUCCAAAUUAAGCCCCCAAACUUAAUUUUUCACCAAUUAAGCCCUCAAAUUAAUUUGACCCGCUUAAAGUAUAAUUAAGUCCUUGCACUUAAUUAAAUCCUUCAAUUGGACCCAAAUUAAUUCUUGAACAUAAUUAAAAUUCAAUUUGGCCCAUGAUUAAAUCAAAUUGGCCCAUUGAAAAUUUAAUUAUGUCAUUGGACUUAAUUCUUAUGCAAAUUCGUCCAAUAAUCAUUUAAUUUGACCUUUGAAUUUGCAUUUUUUCUAUUUUUGGGCGUAACAGCGUACACUUGGGCCUUGAGAUUCUUCCGAAAAUUGCAUCUUGAUUUUCGCCUAUUUUGCAGCCUUUCUUGGUCGGCUUUCUCCGCAUUUCCAGCCUUUAUUAUAUUUUUUAUUUUUUAUUUUUUUGGGAAAAAAAAUGAAUUUUGGGGAAUCACCCAAAAUUGGGUGAUGACACCAACCAUGAUCUUACUUGAGCGACAACAAUGAUUACUAUUAAUUAAUUAUUAACUAUUAGUUAAUUAUUCUCAUUGAUGUAUUUAUUUGAGAUAUAAUGGUUUUUAUAAGAUUAUGUAUCUAUGUGGCUUAGCAGGAUCAAUCUUUACAUUUCAAUGCGAGAAAGGUAUGAAAUGUUUACUAAUUUUUACUCGUACACAGUUAUGAAAUCCUAAUAUUUUUAUAGGAAGUAAUUAAUAUAUAUAUAUAAUUUUUACUCGUACACAGUUAUGUGGCUUAGCAAGAAUAAGGACUUUCAAAUACUCUUGUUUGAAAAUUGAGUAUGUGACUUUCAAGUGAUUAUUGCUCAGAUCAAGGUAUUCCAACGAAUUAUGUUGGAAUUCACUUAUAUGGCCUAUGAAAUGAUUGUUAUGAAGGUCCAAAUAACCUAAAGAAGGAAGAGCAAACAAAAAGGAUGGUAUUGUCCCAUUGAAGAAGUUGCUAAAUAAAUAUAGACUCUCUAGAUUUGAAAGGUUUUCAAAUGAUGAUGGGAUUUCACCGCUCAAAUUACUAUGUGAGAGGUCUAACAUUCUAAGCUGUGUGAGAUUACCAAGCAGAGCUACAUUUGUCCUUCGAAUGUCACAAUUGCGAAGCAAUAUGUAUUCUAACGACUUGAGCUUACUGAUGAAGUCAUUUUCUAAAUGAACUGAAAUUCUUGUCUUAGAAAGGACCAACUGCCAGAGGACAUUACUCACAUUGGAGGAAGGAAAAGAGCCAGUGAGGCCUUCGUUGUCUGCCAAAAUGAGGGAGUCAAGGUUUGGUAGAAGAAAGAUGUUACUUGGGAACUCCCCUUGCAAUCCACAAGUGAAAGCAAUGUCAAAGAAGAGGACAAAUUCGUUAAGGAAUUAGGUGCAACCAAAGACAUAUCUAUAUAAUCCAAGUAGAGUACUCUUAGCUUGGUUAGGUUUUGAACACUCUUGUCAAAAGAGAUUGUUUCUAGACUUAGAUGUUUGUUUGAGAUAUCAAGGGAAACCAAGUUGGAGAGAUGAGAGAUUUCUGAUGAAACUUGGCCUGCAAAAUUUGAAUGAGUUAGGUUAAGAUGCAUCAAAUUGGAAAACUGGCCAAAUUGAGAAGAAAUUUUGGAGAAGUUGAAAUCAUUGUAAGAGAGGACGAGCUUUUGAAGAUGAUGAAGAGAGAAGAGAGAAUUAUUGGAAUGCAGGGUUCCGUCAAGCAUGCUGAAAAAGAGGUCCAGUUCAGUCACUUGCCCGGUUUCCAGGUCACAAGUGACCCCAUCCCACAAGCAGCAGUCUGUACCCUCUUUCCAUGACUCUGUCUUGGGAUAUUGAUCAUAUUGAUAAUUUCUAGCAAACCAAAAAGGAGACCUCUGAAUGGAAAAAGAUUGUUUGAAUUGAAGCAGAGAAAGAGCUUGGUGAUGACUACACAACUGAGUAGAAGAGGAAAAAUUUGAGGAGAAGGAUGAUGAAAUUGUUGUAAGAAAAUACAAGAGAAACAAAAUGGAACAGGGAAAUUGAGCGAGGGAUAAUGAAUAAUUCUUCAUGUUGGCUUUUCAGGAUUCAAAGUAAAUGUGGGAUAUUGAAGGAAGGAAAUGUGGAAGUCGGGGAAAUAUGAGAAACAAAGAAAGGCAAUAUUAGUAGUAUAUAUAGACAAACCAAUCCGAGGACUUAGAUUGUGCUAUUCAUUCAGUUUCUGUAGUACAAAAAAACGAAAGAGACUUACUAUACGCAGCAGCGGAGCAGAUACCGACACAAUGGUGAAUGUGGAACACAUUUAAAGACGAAAUCAAAGUCAUUAUUAUAUGUUUGAUCUUCCUCACUGCUGGGAGAAGCAUUAAAGAAGCUUCAUACAUGAGAGAGUGUGAAACAUCCUUAACUGGGUGCUGACCAAAUUUUAAAUACAAGACUAUCAAAGUAGGUCCCUUAGUUUGAAGUUUGAAGUUUGAGAAUCAAAUUUUCAGAUAAAACCUUAACUAAUGAAAUUAAGUUUGAUCUUAUCUAACAAUUGAACUUUUGUUUUCGUCGGAUGUCAUUUUCUCAACUUUUUUUUAUUGUUGCUAAUGAACUCUUCUUUGUUGCUUCUCGAUAGGUGGCUUUUAGAGUAAACAGUCGCAAAAGAUUUUUUUUCCCUUGGUAUUGUGAUCAAGGAUACUACAAAAGAUUCCAAAGCUUUUUUUUUGUCGAAGAUUCAAUUUAGAUCUUCUCCACCUUAAAUUAGGUAGCUAAAAAAUGAACUUUUGUUUCCAUGCAAUUUGGUAAAAACGAUUUUGUUCUGCUGUCCUUUUUCCUCAACUUUUGUUCAUGAGCACAUAAUCUAGUUGAAGAGGUGAUAUUUGAGUAGAAGGACGAUGAAAUUGUUGUUUUAAAAUGCAAGAGAAACAUAAUUAAUAAUACCUCACUAAAUUGUAAGGUUCUUGAUGCAUGUUCUUUUAAAAUGCAAGAGAAACAUAAUUAAUAAUACCUCACUAAACAUAAUCAUGUUCUUUUUUCAGGAUUUAAAAAUGAAAAAAAGAAGGUUAAAACAAAUAUCUGCAAUAUGUAUUCCCAUCACUAUUUAUAGACAGUAAGGUUCCUAUAACUUUCCUUCUUGACUCAAAAUAAUGGCCCACUAAAUUGUUCUUGCUAGACCACUGGAAACCAAGGCAAAGUGAUUAUUACAUAAAACCAACGGAGCACUGGCGGCUUCGCCUUUUUAUCCUUUUUCAUGGCCCAAAAGUCUUCGUUGACGAGACCAAGAAUGGGAACACAACAAUUUUAUUUUUAUUUUUUUAUUGUCGGCAAAAAUGUUACAGCCAAUAAGAUAAUGGCUAUACAAGAUGCCUUACAAACAAAAUUGGAACUAAUCAAAACUUGAAAAAAAACCCACAAAAUCAAAAUAUAAACAAAACUAAAUUCAUGCAACUAAAAAUGUUUUUGAUUGAACUCCUAUUUCGGCCAAAUAAUAUAAAAUCACCCUGUAAGUAUCACAUAAUCUCCAAGAUAUUAUGGCUCUUGAUGCAUGUAAUGGCAUUAUAUAAAUCUACCACAAUUCAGCUUUUAUAGAGUGCACAGAACAAUCAAUAUUCAAUUAAAAAGUUUUUUGAAUUGUCAAAAUCGUUGCCAAAUUUUAUUCCUUGACACCUCUACAACAAGAAAAGACACAAAAAAAAUCCCCUACAUGAUUUUAGAAGUGGCUGAUUAUUCUUAUUAUGCAAAAAAUUAAUUAAUUCUUAUAGUAUUAAAAAUAAUUAAAUAAUCAUUUGACAAAUCUUGAUCAUUUUUAAUUUCGUAAUUUAUUGUGGUGUAGAGCCGCUAGAGUUAUUGUUUGGCAAAUACAGAUUUGAAAAAAUUUCAGUUUGCAAAUAGAAGAAGAUAUUUCACCUUUCAAAUUACUAUUGGAUGCAAGAAAAAUAUCAAUUCUGUUAGAAUUAACUUACAUUACCUGUGAAUUGAUUAAUUUGUGUCUCUAAAACAAUCUUGUGGAUACCAUUUUAAUUAAUUUAAGAACUGUUUUUUAAUUAAAAAAAACUUAAAAUAUGAGAUUAUGUAUCCAGAUAAUUAAAAUAAAAAAUUGAUAAAGAAAGUCAUCUUCACCAUCUUAUGUUCACUCCAAUCUAAUCAAAUUCACAGUUGUACACCAAUAAAUUCAUUGAGUGAAUGUAGUCAACACGUUCUUGCNNNNNNNNNNNNNNNNNNNNNNNNNNNNNNNNNNNNNNNNNNNNNNNNNNNNNNNNNNNNNNNNNNNNNNNNNNNNNNNNNNNNNNNNNNNNNNNNNNNNGGUAUUUGCACUCAAGAUUCAUAAGUUACUGUUGGAUUCUCAAGACCUUUCCUUUCCACCAUCAAAAAGGAAUUAGUACAUAGCCCCAAUCCGAAAGACGAAAGAGAAGUCUAUAAUAUUAGAUUGUGCAUCGGAGCAGAUACUGACAGGAUGGGUGAAUGUGUAACACAUUUAAAGACGAAAUCAAAUUAAGUCAUUAUAAUAUGUUUGAUCUUCCUCACUGCUGGGAGAAGCACGAAAUCAAAUUAAGUCAAUAUAUAUAUAGACUGGGAGUGUGAAACAUCCUAAGCUGGGUGAAGACCAAAUUUGGAAUACAAGAUUAUCAAGUAGCAAAUUACUUUAUGGAGCGAGUGUUGGAAACGCGGCAAUAUUAAUUUAUGGAAAACAUUUAUAUGUAUAGACAAAAUAUAGAUUUUAUGGGCCAUUUUUCUUUCCAUUGAUAUAUCUAGAAUGUAAAAAAAAGGUGGGGGUAUUCCCAAUCUAUAAUUUGUUAAUAUCACUCCUCAUUUAUUAUAAGUUUUGUUAAUACUCUAUAUUAUCCUUUAUCUUUAAUAUAAUAUGGAGUAUUCUAUUUUGAUAAAAUCAAGUUUAUUGAAAUAAUAUAACUUUGAGAAUGUUAGAAAUCAAACUCUCUUUUUCCCCCUAUAUAUCCAGGAUAAGUUUACAAGAUUUGUGAUUAGAUAAGUGCAUCAGAUUAGAUUCCAUGCAAGCACUUCAGCAUUGGCAAUAACAGCCACUAAUUACUAUCAGUCCUAGUAUGAGAAAAUAGAAGAUAUAUAGCUAGGAAUAUCCUCUAUUAAAAGGAGCCUAGCAGGAUCAAACCUUAUAUUUCAAUGCCAGAUAGGUAAUGCUAUGUCUAUUCUUCCUUGUAUAUGUUCAUAAACAAGAGGAUGAGAGAAGGGAAGAGGUUCAUAAACAAAUGCCAGAGGAUCUUAGCCAAGUUCCCAAAGGGAGGCAAGUAUACUUGCAAGCCUUGUGCUGCUUCUCAUAAAUUCUGACAUUGCUCGAUGCUUGAAUUCACAUGAGAGAUGCAUUUUUCUCUCUCUGAAUGCGUUGCUGGUUUCAUUUUUCCAGAUCACCCGAGAAAUCUAAAAAGAGUGGCCCAUCUGUUAUUCUUAUAAUAGUUAUACCUAGUAGCAACAAAGGUGGGAAGAAUAUUACCAAAAAUGGAUUUGUUCUAAACUCCUGAAUGGAUAGCUGCAAGUUCUCUGCAAGACCAAAUCCUUUACAUUUGUCUAGAAUGCCUCCAGCACCUGAAUUCAUUUGUCACUUACUCCCCUUUGGAAAGAGGUAACAGAAUUUGGUGUUUGGAAUUCAAGCUCCCAAUUACCAGCUCAAACCCUGAUUCUAACCCUUGAUUGAUUGAACAUGGAGCAUGAUCAUUAUUAAUUGUAUUAGUAAAAUCCUGCCCCAGUGGUGUUUAUCCAUUGUUGAACCUCUUGUUGACACAACCACAGCCAUGAGACCUCAUGUACUGGUCUUCAUCAUGUCUUUCAACAUUCUCCAGAUAAUUGUAUUAAUUGGCUGGGGGUUCGAUUUAGUCACUCAUUUACUCACAGAUUAUGAUGGUACCCAUCUCAGCUCAAUAUCUCUUGCAGCUUCUUUCAGUCUCUCAUGAGUUCUUGAGUUUUUGCCAAAUCUUAAACCAUGUUGUCAGCUCCUUAAUCUGAGCUAUAGAUAAAGUUAGAUGCAGGGUAGUUUAAUCCUAAUCACACGAAAGAAAGUGUCAGGAGUGCAGUAAGAGCGAGACACCUUUUCUACAAAUUUUCUGAAUUCUAAUGAAAUCUACGGCAAUUUGGAAAAAAACCAACUCUCUGGCAGGAGGGAGAAGAAAGAAGCGUGGAAAACAGGAUCGUUCUCAGGUAUCAUUAGGAAUUGUUUCUAGGACAAGAAUAAUAUGUCCAGGUGGGAAAUGGUUUACCCGGCCAAAAGCAUGCAUCAAACAAGAAUAAAAUCAAUACUUGCUUAGAUUUCUCAGCAUCUUCCUCUGCCCUCACCACUCCAUGACUUUUAGUAAACACAGUAACCCAAAAUCACAAAAAAUCUAAAAUUCAAUUCACAUUAAACAAUAGCUACAAAUCUAUAAGAUAAUUAUAAAUUAAGUUUAAGAACAAAUAAUGUCAUCAAUUAUGUCCAAAGUAUUCCAGAGGUUUCUCAAUUGGAUCCUUCUAUCCAUUUUGUCUCAAUUUUAAUGUUAAGUUUUCCUUUAAUAAACCAGUUUCAUUGCAUAAAACAGUAAAAUUAUAUGGAAAGAAUCUAAAAAACAAAUUGAGAAAAAUACCCAAUUGAGAAAUAUAUGGCAUAUUUUGGAUCUAAUUGAUAAAAUACAUUGUUCAGGGUCUUGAUUGAGAUACAUAUAUAGCUUAAGAUCCAGAAUGAGGUUUACCCUUUAAUUUUACAUGUCUGGAGUCUUCAAAGUGGGGGCCACCUUCUCAUUGAGAUGUAAAGAUUUUUAUAAGAUUUUAAAGCUUGAUAAUGGAUUAAUUUAAUGAGAUAUUUUAUCUGGCGGGGUUAUCUUAAAUUUGCAUAAAAGUUACAUAUUUAUGUGGCAUAGCAGUAUCAAUCUUUACAUUUCAAUGCGAGAUAGGUAUGAAAUGCUAACUAAUUUUUACUUGUACACAUCCACUAUUUCAGAUCAUGAAAUCCUAAUAUUUUUAUAGAAAAUAAAUAAUAUAUAUAUAUAUAUAUAUAUAUAUUAAAUUCAAUUCUUCAUCAAUUCAAAGUUAAAGUAUAAAAUUAAAAAUAAAAUUUAACUAAAAAAAAUAAAACAACUUAACACAUAUUUAUCUGUCAAACCUGAAUCAUAAGAUCAGAAUAAUUCUAUAAAAAAAUAUCAAAAUAAAUUAUGAAACUCAAUUCUCAAUUAAUUAAAAUUUUAAAGAUGAGAUUAAAAAUAAUAAAAAAUGACACAAAAAACUCAUGACUCGGGUCAACUGACCAAACUCAUAUCUUGGAUCAUAAGAUCAAAAUAACCUUAUAGAACACAAACCAAAAUAAAUUAUAAAGUCUAAUUUCCAAUCAACUAAAUAUUAAAAAAAAUCAAUUACAAAAAAUCAAGUCAACUUAGUCUAAUCCACGAUCUAGGUCAUAAAACCUUAAUAACCUUAUAGAAAAUAAUUUUGUUUUAUAAAGUUCAAUCCUCAAUCAACCCAAUGCUGAAUGAUUAAAUUAAAAAAAAAGAAGAAAAAAGGAUAAAAAAUAACACGAGUUAACUCAGGUUAACUUGUCAAACCUGAGUCAUAUGAUUAGGAUAAUUCCAUAGAAAAAAAGAAAGAAAGAAAGAAAAAAUAUAAAGUUCAAUUCUUAAUCAAUUCAAUAUUGAAGGAUGAAAUUAAAAAAUAAAUAUUCAAUUAAAAAAGACAAAAAAAAAAACUCAAUUCAAUCUAGCUAACCCGCAAAACUCGUGACUCAAGUCAUGAGACCAUGAUAACCCGGUAGAAAACAAAUCAAAAAAGAAUUAUGAAACUCAAUUUCAAAUCAAUUUAAUAUUGAAUGAUGAAGUUGAGAAACAAAAUAAUAAUUAAAAAUGAUAAAAAAAAAUAACUCAAGUCAACAAGGCUAACCCCUCAAACUCACAACUCAGGUCAUAAAACCGAGAUAACUUCAUAGAAAUUAAAUUAAAAUAAAUUAUGAAAUUCAAUAUGCAGUAAGUCCAAUAUUGAAGGGUGAAAUUAAAAAAAAAAUAUAAAAUAUAAAAUAAAAAUAAAAAUAAAAAUAAAUCAUAAAAAAUCUUGAUGACCGAAGUAAAGAAAAAUUCUUAAUAUGCAUAUAGAAUAAGAAAUCUCACCUGUCAAUUUAUUGUUGGACGCGAGAAUAAGGACUUCCAAAUACUCUUGUUUGAAAAUUAAGCUUGGGAUUGAACCAUGCAAGUGAUUAUUGCUCAAAUCAAGGUAUUCAAACGAAUGAUGUUGGAAUUCACUUAUAUUGCCUAUGAAAUUAAUGAUUGUUAUGAAGGUCCAAAUAACCUAAAGAAAGAAGAGUAAACAAAAAGGAUGGUAUUGUUCCAUUGAACAAGUUACUAAAUAAAUAUAGACUGUCCAGAUUUGAAAGGUUUUCAAAUGAUGAUGGGAUUUCUCCUCUCAAAUUAUUAUUUGAGAGGUCUAACAUUCUAAGCUGUGUGAGAUUACCAAGCAGAGCUACAUUUGUCCUUCGAAUGUCACAAUUCUGUUUGCCUUAGGCAAAACGUUUAAGGGGUGAUAAUAUCUUCCCUUUUAGGUAAUCAAUCCCGAGCCAUGGAAUCUCUGUUGACCAGUUAGGGUUCCUAGUGACCAUAAUACUAGGUGGCGACUCCUCAAACAAGACCUUUUCCCCUAGAAGAACAAGAUGCUAGAAAUCUGUUCUUUCCAUGUAAAUAUUUUUUAGGGCCGCCGCGAUGUCGGGUGCGACACAUAAGAUCAGAAUAAUUCUAUAAAAAGAUAUCAAAAUAAAUUAUGAAACUCAAUUCUCAAUUAAUCAAAAUUUUAAAGAUGAGAUUAAAAAUAAUAAAAAAUGACACAAAAAACUCAUGACUCGGGUCAACUGACCAAACUCAUAUCUUGGAUCAUAAGACCAAAAUAACUUUAUAGAACACAAACCAAAAUAAAUUAUAAAGUAUAAUUUCCAAUCAACUAAAUAUUAAAAAAAUCAAUUACAAAAAAUAAAGUCAACUGAUCUAGGUCAUAAAACCUUAAUAACCUUAUAGAAAAUAAUUUUGUUUUAUAAAGUUCAAUCCUCAAUCAACCCAAUGCUGAAUGAUUAAAUUAAAAAAAAGAAGAAAAAAGGAUAAAAAAUAACACGAGUUAACUCAGGUUAACUUGUUAAACCUGAGUCAUAUGAUUAGGAUAAUUCCAUAGAAAAAAAGGAAGAAAGAAAGAAAAAAUAUAAAGUUCAAUUCUUAAUCAAUUCAAUAUUGAAGGAUGAAAUUGAAAAAUAAAUAUUCAAUUAAAAAAGACAAAAAAAACUCAAUUCAAUCUAGCUAACCCGCAAAACUCGUGACUCAAGUCAUGAGACCAUGAUAACCCGGUAGAAAACAAAUCAAAAAAAAAAAUAUGAAACUCAAUUUCAAAUCAAUUCAAUAUUGAAUGAUGAAGUUGAGAAAAAAAAUAAUAAUUAAAAAGGAUAAAAAAAAUAACUCAAGUCAACAAGGCUAACCCCUCAAACUCACAACCCAGGUCAUAAAACCGAGAUAACUUUAUAGAAAGUACAUUAAAAUAAAUUAUGAAAUUCAAUAUGCAGUAAGUCCAAUAUUGAAGGAUGAAAUUAAAAAAAAUAUAAAGUUAAAAAUAAAAAUAAAUCAUAAAAAAUCUUGAUGACCGAAGUAAAGAAAAAUUCUUAAUAUGCAUAUAGAAUAAGAAAUCUCACCUGUCAAUUUAUUGUUGGACGCAAGAAUAAGGACUUCCAAAUACUGUUGUUUGAAAAUUAAGCUUGGGAUUGAACUAUGCAAGUGAUUAUUGCUCAAAUCAAGGUAUUCAAACGAAUGAUGUUGGAAUUCACUUAUAUUGCCUAUGAAAUGAUUGUUAUGAAGGUCCAAAUAACCUAAAGAAAGAAGAGUAAACAAAAAGGAUGGUAUUGUUCCAUUGAACAAGUUACUAAAUAAAUAUAGACUGUCCAGAUUUGAAAGGUUUUCAAAUGAUGAUGGGAUUUCUCCUCUCAAAUUAUUAUUUGAGAGGUCUAACAUUCUAAGCUGUGUGAGAUUACCAAGCAGAGCUACAUUUGUCCUUCGAAUGUCACAAUUCUGUUUGCCUUAGGCAAAACGUUUAAGGGGUGAUAAUAUCUUCCCUUUUAGGUAAUCAAUCCCGAGCCAUGGAAUCUCUGUUGACCAGUUAGGGUUCCUAGUGACCAUAAUACUAGGUGGCGACUCCUCAAACAAGACCUUUUCCCCUAGAAGAACAAGAUGCUAGAAAUCUGUUCUUUCCAUGUAAAUAUUUUUUAGGGCCGCCGCGAUGUCGGGUGCGACACAUAAGAUCAGAAUAAUUCUAUAAAAAGAUAUCAAAAUAAAUUAUGAAACUCAAUUCUCAAUUAAUCAAAAUUUUAAAGAUGAGAUUAAAAAUAAUAAAAAAUGACACAAAAAACUCAUGACUCGGGUCAACUGACCAAACUCAUAUCUUGGAUCAUAAGACCAAAAUAACUUUAUAGAACACAAACCAAAAUAAAUUAUAAAGUCUAAUUUCCAAUCAACUAAAUAUUAAAAAAAUCAAUUACAAAAAAUAAAGUCAACUGAUCUAGGUCAUAAAACCUUAAUAACCUUAUAGAAAAUAAUUUUGUUUUAUAAAGUUCAAUCCUCAAUCAACCCAAUGCUGAAUGAUUAAAUUAAAAAAAAAAGAAGAAAAAAGGAUAAAAAAUAACACGAGUUAACUCAGGUUAACUUGUUAAACCUGAGUCAUAUGAUUAGGAUAAUUCCAUAGAAAAAAAGAAAGAAAGAAAGAAAAAAUAUAAAGUUCAAUUCUUAAUCAAUUCAAUAUUGAAGGAUGAAAUUAAAAAAUAAAUAUUCAAUUAAAAAAGACAAAAAAAAAAACUCAAUUCAAUCUAGCUAACCCGCAAAACUCGUGACUCAAGUCAUGAGACCAUGAUAACCCGGUAGAAAACAAAUCAAAAAAGAAUUAUGAAACUCAAUUUCAAAUCAAUUUAAUAUUGAAUGAUGAAGUUGAGAAACAAAAUAAUAAUUAAAAAUGAUAAAAAAAAAUAACUCAAGUCAACAAGGCUAACCCCUCAAACUCACAACUCAGGUCAUAAAACCGAGAUAACUUCAUAGAAAUUAAAUUAAAAUAAAUUAUGAAAUUCAAUAUGCAGUAAGUCCAAUAUUGAAGGGUGAAAUUAAAAAAAAAAUAUAAAAUAUAAAAUAAAAAUAAAAAUAAAAAUAAAUCAUAAAAAAUCUUGAUGACCGAAGUAAAGAAAAAUUCUUAAUAUGCAUAUAGAAUAAGAAAUCUCACCUGUCAAUUUAUUGUUGGACGCGAGAAUAAGGACUUCCAAAUACUCUUGUUUGAAAAUUAAGCUUAGGAUUGAACCAUGCAAGUGAUUAUUGCUCAAAUCAAGGUAUUCAAACGAAUGAUCGAUGUUGGAAUUCACUUAUAUUGCCUAUGAAAUUAAUGAUUGUUAUGAAGGUCCAAAUAACCUAAAGAAAGAAGAGUAAACAAAAAGGAUGGUAUUGUUCCAUUGAACAAGUUACUAAAUAAAUAUAGACUGUCCAGAUUUGAAAGGUUUUCAAAUGAUGAUGGGAUUUCUCCUCUCUAAUUAUUAUUUGAGAGGUCUAACAUUCUAAGCUGUGUGAGAUUACCAGCAGAGCUACAUUUGUCCUUCGAAUGUCACAAUUGUGAAGUAACAUAUAUUCUAACGACUUGAGCUUACUGAUGAAGUCAUUUUCUAAAUAAACUGAAAUUCUUGUAUCAGAAAGUACCAACUGCCAAAGGACAUUACUCAUAUUGUAGGAAGGAAAAGAGCCAGUGAGGCCUUCGUUGUUUGCCAAACUAAGUGAGUACUCUUAGCUUGGUUAGGUUUUGAACAAUCUUGUCAAAAGAGAUUGUUUCUAGACUUAGAUGUUUGUUUGAGAUAUCAAGUGAAACCAAUUUGGAGAGAUGAGAGAUUUCCAAAGGAACUUGGCCUGCAAAACUUGAAUGAGUUAGGUUAAGAUGCAUCAAAUUGGAAAACUGGCCAAAUUGAGAAGAGAUAUUGGAGAAGUUGAAAUCAUUGUAAGAGAGAACGAGCUUCUGAAGAUGAUGAAGAGAGAAGAGAGAAUUAUUGGAAUGCGGGGUUCCGUAAAGCAUGCUGAAAGAGAGGUCCAGUUCAGUCACUUGCCCAGUUUUCAGGUCACAAGCAGCAGUCUGUACCCUCUUUCCAUGACUCUGUCUUGGGAUAUUGAUCAUAUUGAUAAUUUCUAGCAAACCAAAAAGGAGAACUCUGAAUGGAAAAGGAUUUUUUGAAUUGAAGCAGAGAAAGAGCAACUAAAUAUGUUUUAAAUUGAACUCCUGUUUUGUCCAAAUGAUAUGUAACCUUAUUCUUUUUUCCAAGAAUAUAUGUAAAGUUCAUAGAAGAAAGGAUACUACAAGCAUUUGAAAUCUCAUUGAAAUAACCUUGUAAAUAUCACAUACAAGUAUCACAUCCUAGUUAAUUGGUAUUUUAGGGAUUGCUGAUUUUUCUCAAUAUGAGAAAAAUCUAAUAAAUACUUGAGUAUUUAUUAAAAAUAAUUGAAUAGUCAUUUGACAAGUUUUGAUCAUGGUUUCUUAUCAAUCUUUCAACUUAUAUACUUUGGUUUGUCCUUUUUCUAUUUUAAAUAAAAAAUAAUAUGAAAUGGAUGAAAAUGAUUAAGUUAUAAAUGCAAUUAGAAAUGACCCAAACGGCUUAUUUUACUUACUCUAUAAUUGCAUGCAAUAUAAUUUGCUCCUCUCAGUUUUUGUUAGGUCUCUGACCUCCAUUUCUUCUUCCAACUUCUUUAUUCUAUCCUGCAAUUCCCAAAGUCUGUUAUCCUGAUUACUGAAAACAUCAUGAUUCCAGGUUUGAGAUUUAUGUGCCAACAAUCUCAAAAUGGUUUCCCGAACAUAUAUGGUUGAGUCGAGUUAGAGUUGUGGAGGUAAUGAAGAACCCUAAUUCUUCAAUUAUAUGGUUACAUGUAAUGUAAAAAGUUUAACUUGAUAUGAAUUGACAUAUAUGGAUGGUCAGCCCAAUCGUCCUUGGAAUCACCUUUCGUUCUUUUGCACCAAAAACUCAUAAAAAAUGAUUCCAAAUCAAACACCACAGACACCCUCCAAGAAGGCAACAAUUUUGCUGAAAGGUGUAGGCACUAAAUAUCUCCGUUUAAAUCACCUUUGUCGAUACACGACGUCGGGCGACGGCUCCCGCUUUUUUUGUUUAUUUAACAAAAAGGGUUUUUUUCUCGAUUGGGGGAAACAAAGAUUUUAUUGGAGUCGCCAUCUAGUAACUUGAGGGAACUAGAAAUCCCAAAUUAGACACUGGUCCCAGAGAUUCGGGUACGGGGUUAGUUAUGAUUAAGGGAAGGUAGACACCACCCUUAAAACAUCCUUUCAAAAGAAAGGUUACCCUUACUUGUGUGUUUUUUUUUUAUUCAAAUGCGAUUAUAUUUUGGGCUUAUUUGUAAUUCUUUUUAAAUGAUUAACGUCGGUCCCUAAAAAUAGGAGACACGUUAAAAAUGACAUCAGUCCCUAAAAAUUAGGAGACUCGUCUAAAAUAUUGACGUUUGUCCCUAUAAAGGAGAGUUACGUCUGGGUUAAUAAUGGAUAUAAUCCAUUAUAUUUUGGGUUUAUUGGUAAUUUGUUUUUUUCAAAUGGUUAACGUCGGUCCCUAAAAAUAGGAGACGCGUUAAAAAUGACAUCAGUCCCUAAAAAUUAGGAGACUUGUCUAAAAUAUGACGUUUCAACCCUAAAAAGGAGAAUUACGUCUGGGUUACCAAACGAAAUAAUGGACAUAAUCCAUAUUUGGUAUUUACAUUUUUGACAUCGGUCCUUUUUUAAAAAAAGAGACGUGUCGACUUUGGUUUUUGCAUUUUUUACAACAUGCAAGAAAAUUUACAAGCAUUUAUAUAUGAAAAAAAAUAUCAAAAAUAUCAGUAGAAACCCAAAAAAUUACUUGAGUGUCACUGUAGAGGUAAAAUAAUAAAAUACCCUUGAAUUUCUCCGAAAUUUACAAAAAUGCCACUGGCGGCGCGUGUGGCCCACGCGCGGUUAGUGUUGGAGGCGGUGAAAUUUUCUGGCGCGAUUUCCGGCCAACAAAUGGUUGUUUCUGGUAGAUCUGAGGGCGAGGAUCUGAGGGCGAGGAUCUGAGGCCGUUGAUGGCUGACGAGGGAGAAUCGUCGGUUUGAAGCUUCGGUGGCCGACGAAAAUCGCGGCCCUUUUCCGGCCAGAUGGAGCGGCGAAAACGCUGAAACCGGCCGGGGUUUUGCUUUAUAUGAGGAAGAAAACCUUUCUGUGGUGGUUUUCAAGCUUGCAGUGGCCGGAGAUGGGAGAUCGGAGGAGAGAGAGGGAGUCGCCGACGAGAGGAGAGAGAUGCUCUGGGCUAUGCUACGGUGAGAACACUAGCACGGUACACCGGUGCCGUUGAUGCCUGUGAUCCGUUGGAUCUCUGAUGAAACAAUCGGAUGGCUGUGAUUGGCUAGAUCUGCAGGUUGAUCGGACGGUCUGGAUGAGCGGAGCUUUGAUCUGGUGUGGCACGGUGCACCGAAAGCUCGGUACACCGGAUGACGUGGCGCAACGGGAUCAAAGCUUAGAUUAUUCCAAGGGCUGAGAUGUGUUUGGGUUUUAAUCUAGUGUGGUAAGCCCUAUUGUAUCCUAUUAAAUCAACGGUUUAGAUCUAAAUACUAUUAGAUCUAACGGUUAGGAUAUAUUUGGUAUUUUCUAUAUUGUUUUUUUUAAAAAUCAAUAUCCUACUCGCGUGAAGAAAUAGUAAAAAAACCUGAAUAGUAUAUAUGUAAUCUCUCUUCUUUUUUUUCUUUCUCCUCCCUCCUCCCUGGCGCACUGUCACUGGCUAUUUAUAGCCAAGGGGACAUACAAAGCUUAAAUUUCCACAAAUUUUAUUUUUUAAUCACCGUCUGCUUUCGGCAUUUUUUAAUCACCGUUUGCUUUCGGUGCAACUGCCCGUUUGACAAAUUUUAUUUUAUUUUUAUUUUAUUUUUUUAUUAUGUAUAAUAAUAUAUAUUUAUAUAGGUAAAAUUAAAAACUCAAUUCAGUAUUAGAAAAACCCGAUUCAACCGCUAAAAAUCAAUUUUAAUGAUCGAAAAUAACAGUUUCGACCCAAAAUGACCUGAAACUUAUUUUUUACCCUGGUCGACAUGGUUUGACCCGUAUUGACCUGGUGAACUCGGUUUUGACCAGAAAUGACGGUUUUGACCCGAAAACGGCCUGAAACUCAUUUUUUACCCUGGUCGACAUAGUUUGACCCGUAUUGACUCGGUGGACUCGGUUUUGACCGAAAAUGACGUUUUUGACCCGAAACGGCUUGAAACUCAUUUUUUACCCUGGUCGACAUGUUUUGACCCGUAUUGACUCGGUGGACUCGGUUUUGACCGAAAAUGACGGUUUUGACCCGAAAACUCAUUUUUUACUUGGCCGACAUGGUUUGACCUGUAUUGACCCGGUGGAAUCGGUUCUUAUGGAAAGAUGCGGUUGACUCGAGAAAAAUAUAUUUUUGAAUUUUUCUUUUUCUUAAUUUUUUUGAAUUUUUAUAAAUAAUAAUAGAAAUAAAAUAACAUUUGAGAAAAUCUUGGUGGAUCCAAAAUUGGGUUACAACAACCUUCAGUGGGAAAUUAUGUUUCAUCUUUAGCUGCUUAAUAGAUUACAUGAUGGGUGGUGAUGCAUAAAUGCAAUAAUAAGCUAUGAUUACGAUCGAGUACUUUUUUUUAAUUAAAUUUGACAUGCUUGAGAGAGGUUGACUUUUGACUUAGCUGAUUCAUUAAUUCUUGACUUGAGAAAGAUCUAAAAAAGUCAAGCCAGGAUUGUUUCGGUUGACCUAAAUCAAUAACCUGUUAACAUUUUUAAAUUUUUUGACCAACAUUUUAGAACAGUAUUCAAUGUAAGUAGGUUGACUUUAUAGAUUAAAAAAUAAUUUGGAUAACUUGUAAAAAUAUAGUUUGACUCAGAAACAUAUUCAAGAAGAUAUAUAUUAUUUUUUUAAUAUUAAAAUAACAAUAUAUUAGAUUAAUUUAGGUCAAACCAAGUUAACAUAUCACAUCCAUGACUCGAGUUAUGAAAAUAGCCCUACAUAAAAAAAUCAAAACAAAUUAUGAAAUUGAAUUCCCCAUUAACAAAAUAUUAAAGGAUAAAAUUGAAAAAAUCAAUUGAAAAAAGGAUCUAAAAAAAUAAUCUAUGCUAACCUAUCAAACCCACAACUCGAGUUAUAAUAUCAAGAUAACCUCAUAAAAAUUAAAUUAAGACAAAUUACAAAGUUUAAUUCUCAUUCAAUCUAAUAUCAAAGGAUAAGAUUAAAACAAUAAAUCAAAUAAAAAACUAGGUUUGAAACAUUUUGUUAUGUAUUAAAGUUAAAUCAUUUUUCAUAUUUUAAAUGCAUAUAUGGAUUAAUUAACGUAUACACAAUAAAGAAUUUAUUGUGAGUUUAUUUUGAAUUGUAACUCGAAAUAGUAAUUCAAGAAAUAAAUUAUGUUUAUGAUAAAUGUUUGAAAGUGUAUCGAUUUUUAAUUAAAAUAUUUAUUGAUGCGGUAGAAGGAUAGUAAAAAGAUGCAGGCAGGUAUAAAAUUUCUUGAUAAAGAAGUCCCUUAUUUAGUGUACCGCAAAUUAUUCCCGCUAUGAAUGGAAUGAUGAUUUAAGUAUUGAAUAUAAAUCAAAGAAAUGUGCGCAUUAUUAUACUAUACUUUAAAAUAUAUGGGAAAAUUAUUGUACUAGUACUAUGUAUAUAGAAUAUUUGCACUGUGAAUUACAAUGUAAAUAUUCAAAAAACAAUUUAAAAAGACAAGGUGCAAUUGUUAAGUUUACACAAUUUAAAAAGAUAAGGUGUGAUGCACCUACCUAGAGUAUGUGUGCGUACUGCUACUCCAUGUCAUUGUCCAGUUCCUACAGCUUCUCCUGAAUAUUGACGAGCUACUGUUCAACAUAAAUGAAACUUUACCGGAGAGUGGGUUUCCAAUCUCUACCGUCUAGAAUGAAGGCAACAUUCAAGCGCAUCACAUAUCCAAAAAUAGACAUGAUCCAGCAGUGGAAGAGAGAGAAAUCGAUCGGCAACCAAAACUGUCAUGCAGGUGUAUUUCCUUUUGUUUUCCAGAAAAUUUACGAUGAUGAUUUAUGUCAAACGGAUUAUGUGCCUUCAAAUCCCUCUAGUCAGUUAGUAAAGGAGUGUGAGAAGAACAAUAUAUCCAGAAAUCAACAUAAUCCAACAGUGUAUUCCAAAGAUAUGGUCACCAGAGCAUUAUUAGCUCCUCCAAAUUCUGCACUUCUCUCUCUAGCCGAAUUUUCUCUAUUGUCUCUCACCUUUUUUUUUUGAACUGGUGGCCUCUUUGCUGUUCUAAAGGUAUAUUUACCCCUAAUUACAAUUUUGUCCCUCAUUUAUGCCUUUAUGUCUUUUAUUUCAUUUUUCAUGUAAACUAUUCGGCUUGUUUCUACUUAAAUCGCUAGUAUUUACCGAACUACAAUUGGGAUGAGAUAUUUAACCAAGGUAAGAAAACAUAUUAAUAGACUUCAUGCAAAACUUCAUUCCGAUCCGAUAAUUGAAUUGAGAGCUCUGCUUUUUAAUGUAAAAUUGGUCAGUUCAUGACUUUUCAUCAACGAUCCAAAUUUUAUUGUUGAAUCUUCACAUAAAAUUAUAUCAAUUAUCAUUCUAAACCUCUAAGGUCAUUUUAUUAUUUUGGAAUAUAUUCAUUUUAAAAUUUCCACAUUUAUUUAUUUAUCAGGUAUUAUUAUCGUUUCAAAGUAAUGUCAUUGAUUUUUAAUCGGUGCUUGCACCUUCAGUCCUAUAAUUUUCAUUGCACCAUCCCUUAUUAUAAUUUAUUCUUUAUUACCUCACUUAUUCCUUAGAAACAUUUUAUCAUUUUCCUUGUUAUUUUAUCCAUCAAAACGCGUUACCAGUUUCUCUAUCCUUAUGAAUUCUAAACUAAAAUUCAUUUUAUAGAGGUCAUCCCCUCCAUUAUAUAUCAUUAUUCAUCUAUUAUUUCUUAUCUUGGUUUUCAUCACUUAUUGAGAUCAUACCAUUUUCAGUCUUACGUUUACAUGGAAGUUUACACAUCUCCAUAUUUAAAUUAUAAAUUUCUAGGGUUUCACAAUAUUUUUUGUUCAAUGGAUGUUAUAAAGAUUGUGGUUGUGAUGAUGAUGAUGUUUGUAGGAUUGAAACUCAUGGCGAUUGGGUCAUGAUUGAGUUAUGAGAUGUGUGAUAUAAUAAUUGUAAACAGGUUAUAUGUCAAUAACUUGGGACCUCCUGGUAUAGGGGAGACUCCGCUGAAAUUUUGAUAAACUUUUUAUAUGAAAACUGUAUAAAAAAAUUUACCUAUAUUUUUACGUACCAAAUCAUAGAAAAGUAACUAUAAAUACAUAUGAAAGUAUGGGGCGUUAUAAUGUCAAUAUACUAGUUUGUACGUUAAACUAUGCACAUGCAUCAAAGUGUUGUUCGAUUUGAUUAACUAGUCAAUAUAAAUAAAACGAAGAGAGUUCUAUGGCAUUUUUUUUGAGAAAAAAAAAGUUAUUUUUAUUAUGGGUGAGAAAUGUUUAUGAUAUUUGUUUUUCUCUAACAUAAGAUUUAUGGUUAUGAAAAGAGUGUUUAAGAGUAUGACAGUGGUUGCGGUUCAAAGUGCAUUUUGCUUAGAUAUGCAUUAAAAUAUUUUUUUAUUUUAAAAAAUUAUUUUUUAUAUUAGCACCUUAAAACGAUUUAAAAAUAUAAUAAAAAAAUAAUUUUAAUAAAAAGAAUUUAUUUUUUAGGAAACGCAGUUGAAACCGACUGCCUAACUAGAGAAGAUGAUGAAGUUACAUCUAGACAGCAAAAUCCAACUCCUUGGUUAUUGAAACUGAGUAUAAAAUCUAAGAUUACCAGUGAAGUUGUAUCAAUUAAAAUGAUAUUGUUUUAAUUUUUUUAAAUUAAUUUAGAUUUUGAAUUAUUCAACUAGAUCAUGAUUUAAUUUAUCAGGUCAUUUAAAUCACAUUAUUUAACUUUCACUUGAUUUUUUUUAAAACCUAACAUGAAUUAAUCGUUGUGAGAUCAAUCCGCCUGACGGAGUUUAAUAGCUUGUUACAAAUAAAUUACGCCAUUUUACACUUACCUUUUGGGAGUAAGAACUCAAUUUUGGAAGGGACGGUGAAUUUCAAUUUUGCACUUUCUUUUCAUCCAUUGCACUUUCUUUUUACCUUUUACUGGAACUCAAUUUUGAAAGGGACGGUGAGUUUUAGUUUUAAUUCUAGGUGGGCUCGAUUGGAUUGCUUUGUUAAAAAAAUAAUCACAUUGACAAAAGACCAAAGGGACUAUUGUCAAUUGCUGACUAUAAGUGUGGAGCGUCUUAUAAUCUGAUUUCUAUGGAAUUCUAGAAAAUCUUCUAUACCAUAAAUAAUAUACAUUUAAUUGGACUUGAAAAAUAUAGCCUCAUUGAUUAAAAUUAAAUUUGCCUUAAAUUAUUAUUAUUAUUAUUGGCUUUUAAAAAAACUUCAUUAAGUCUAGAAAUAGAAAUAGGGCUUAUAGCUUUAAUAAGACUUCACCCCAAAAUUUAGCCAGUCCUUUCCCAGCCCAACCCUAACCACUCAUCAUAGCCCAAACCCUAACUACUACCACCACCAAGUCCACCAGCACAUAAAUUUCCAACACAACCCCAACAGACCACCCAAAAAGAACUCCAAACCAAGGACAUUAUUCUACUUUAAACACACAUACAAAAUCCAGAAACCCCUCACCCCCCUCCUCCUUCUUUAUUCCCCAAGAACUCCCAAAGCUUAAAAACAAUAAAAAGACUAUCAAACACAAUAUAACUUCAAUAAAUCUUAUACCUUUUUCCUUUAUUAUUUUUUACGUAAAAACCUUAAUAUCAUCUAUUAGGGGUUCUUCAGAAACCAAGUUUUUUGCAAGAACUAGUGUUAAAUGCAGCAAGUGCAGCUUUAAGUUGUUUGGUAUUGUUUGCUGGGCUCAGGAAACUUGACCUAAAUCGUGAAGCAUCAAAGAAAGCCCUUGAACAUAAGAAGGAAAUCGCCAAACAUUUGGAUCGUCCCCUUAUCCAAACAAACCCUUAUGAGGUGUGUGUCAAAGUUUCUGUUUUUUUUGCCAUUUUUUUUUUGGGUUUUUUUUUUAUUUUUUUUUAUUUUUGAAGGAUUCUGUGAAUCUUGGUUAUGGGGGUAAUUAAUGGAAUAUAGGGUUUGUUUUGGUUUAUUGUUUUUUGGAGGAUUCUGUGAAUUUUGGUUAUAUGGUUAGAUAAUGGAACGAAGAAUUUUGUGAAUUUUGAUUAUAGGGUUAGUUAAUGGCAUAUAGGCUUUGUUUUUAUUAUGUGCUAUUGGUUUUAUUAUAUGCUUCAAUUGUCAUUUAUCUGUAAAAGUUUGAACUUUGUGUGUGAUAGCGGGGUUGAGGUUGAUAUUGCAAUGAGAGAUGUGGGUGGUUUAUUGUAGGGAAUAGGGAUUGGGGGGUUUUGAGUUUUUUAGUUUAAUCGGUGUUUGGGAUAUGGGGGAGUGACUGCUUGUGCCGAAUGGAAUGGGAUUAAGUUUCCAGUUUUGCUGGGAUGAAUGGAGUUGCUUUGUUGUAGUCGAAACUAAGUUCAUUUCAGAUUGAGUUGUUUGUUGAACUUUUGAACUGGUGGGUUGGAGUUUAGGCCUCUUGUGGCUGAAAAGUUCGAAUUCUUGUAUGACAAUGGAGAUGGGGGCUAUGGGAUUAAGAUUGUGAUGAGGGAUCCUGUUGGUCCAGUGGGUUAUUGUAGGGAAUAGGGAUUGGGGGAUUUGGGUUUUUUUAGUGAAGAUAGGUAAUUUAAUUAGUUUUUGGAAUGUGGGGGAGUGAUUCCUUGUGCCGAAUGGGGUGUGUUUGAGUUUCCAGUUCUGUUGUGAUGAAUGAAGUUGUUUUGUGUUGGUAGAAACUAAGUUCAUUUCUGAUUGAGUUGUAUAUUGAGCUUUUGUACUGGAGCGCUGGAGUUUAGGCCUUUGGGUUGAUGUUAUAGCAUGAUUGAAUUGUCAUUUACUUGCAAGAGGUUUGAAUUUUCUAUGAUAAUGGGAUGAGGACCAUGAGGUUAAGACUGCAAUGAGGGAUGUGUGUGGUUUGGUGGGUUAAUGGAGGGAACAGUGAUUGGGGGAUCGAGGUGUUUUGGUGAAGAUAGGUGUUUCAAUUAGUUUUCGGAAUGUUGGGGAGUGAUUGCUCAUGCCGAAUGGGAUAUGAUUAAAUUUCAAGUUUUGGUGGAUGGAAGGAGUUGUUUUGGGUUGGUGUUAUAGCUCUGUUGUCAUUGUUUAUACAACCAUAGACAGUUAUAAUAUUUCCUGGUGUCUUCAAACGCGCCAUUUGUUUUCUAGGCUGUCCAUAAUUUGUUGAUUGCUACCACGCAACAAAUACUUAGAGUUUCUAAUGUCAACUGAAUACAUGAAAAUAUCCAUCAUAUGGAGUAGAUUUGAGUCUCUGUUAUUAAUAAACUAAUGGCACAUGAUUAGUUACAGUUAUGCGAGUUCACCUUUUUGAAAAUGUUACUUCGUGAAUGCUGAUGGCUACUAUGUUCAGUAAUAGCCUCCUGCGUGACUGACUGGGUUAAGGUUCAUAGUUGGAAGAAAUUAAAUUUGAAGACUUAGCCUUGAACCAAUAUGAUGGCUAUAACUUUUCAAUUAUGAAACCUUCUGAUUGCAAUUACUUUGUGGAAGAUUUAAACUGCUUUGUAACAAUCAAGCCUAUCUUCUAAACACUAUCCAAUGUGGCCAUGUUCUCAUGUUGAAAAUAUAAUUGAUUGGAAUAGAGGCUUUAGGAUUUAUGGCCGGUUUAAUGGUUUAUUAAUAUGCUGCAAUUGUGUAUUUUUAUUUUUGAACAGGAUGUCAUAGCAUGUGAUGUUAUAAAUCAGAUCACAUAGAUGUGGAAUUUGAAUCAAUUGGAGGAUUGGAAUCUAUCAAGCAAGCUUUGUAUGAACUGGUGAUUCUUCAUCUGCGGAAACCUGAGCUCUUCACACACAAAAAACUUCUUGGUCCACAAAAGGGUGUAUUGUUAUAUGGACCUCUCUGAUAAUUGAAGCAAGGUAGUACUUUGUGAACGUUCUUAACUAAGAUUGAACAUUCCUAACUUGUCCUUCUUGAAGAUCUUUAUUAGCAGCAAGAUUUUGUUGGAUGCUCUAUUAACUUUAAAAAACUGGGCACUGUGGCUUCCUUAUCUAAUGGAUCUUCCUCUGAUGAAUGAGAUUGCGAAAUGAUCACAAUUUUGGUAUUUUUGUUGUUGUGUGGUAUUUCUAUGUAUCCUACAUUAGGGAUAUAACAAAAGUAACUGAAUAGCAUACAUUCUGGCAAUUGUGAAAGUGGUCAUUACUGUAUUUAGCAACAACAUCUUUGUGUUGAAACCAUCCCUCAUUAUAUUCUUUUCUGCAUCUGAAUCCAUGCAAAUCUUGUUGGUUCGGUGCUGACUAGAAACAGAUUUAGAAGUAAUUAACUAAGUUUGCGUAGUUACUUUUUUGCUCCUAUCGAAGUUUUCAUAAUCUGAUUGGUGUUGAUUCUUUUCUAUGCUAUUGCAGUUGCUGUUGUUUUUGGCCUGGCUUAUAAACUCCAGCCUGCUUUUAUAUUAUUGAAGAGGUUGAUAGUUUUCCGGGGUAGGGUCGUACUACAAAUCAUGAGGCAUGAAACCUAAGUUCAUGGCAUUAUGGGAUGUGCUGACUACAGAUCGUGAGUUCUUACUCUUGAAACAAGUGCUGCAUUUGUGUAGUCUUUCAAUGCAGUGACUUGCUAGAAUCCCUUUCAUGUAAGAUUUGUGAAAGUGUGAUUUAUUCAUGGGCCUGGCUUGGCAAGACUCAGUGAUAAUAUUCUUACAGAGAAUGCACAAGUGAUGGUACUUGCUGCAACCAACUGAACUUCAGAACUCAAUGAAGCAAUCCUCCAACGUCUUCCUUAGGCCUUUGAAAUUGGGAUACUGAGAUCCUGAAGGUUGUUUUGAAAGGGGAGAAGAUCAAAAGCAAAAUUGACUUUGAUUGCAUAACAAGUUUGUGUGAGGGCUACACUGGUUCUCAUCUGUGAUUUGUUAUAAUCCCAGCUAAUUCUUAAAGGUAUUUUUAUUGAUUUGUAAUAUUUGCAUAAAAAUCCCAUGCAUGCCUGAGGGUGUCAUGGAAAAGUUUUUGUAAUUGUUGCCUGUUGUGUUCUAUCCAAAACCAAUGACUUCCAUUGCAAUGGAUAGAAGAUAGUAUGGUUCCUCAUGAGAACUAGAAGAAAUUAAACAAAUUGUUGUUAUGGACUAAAAGGGAUAGCUAUUGGUGUCAAAAAUAUUAUCUGGAGGAUUUUAUCUUUCCAUUGUUUGAGCUUGCUGUGGAUUUUUUUAAUCCUUUAUUGAGUUUCUACAUCGUGAUUCUUUCUCAGGCACCAAGGCCAUUGUCUGAGUCAGACUUGCAGGGAGUUCUUGGCACAUCAACUAAGACUACGGUUGCUGCAAAUGAGUACAGUAGGUCAAGCUCACAUUCACCUGGGUGGCCAGGCAGUCAGAUGACUAUCAGGUUCAAGCCACAACUAAUGAGCUCUCUAAACUCAUAGUAUCUCAAAUCUUGAAUCUUCAGUCGGAUAAUCAGGACCCUUGAAAUAUUCAUCUGUUUUUUCUUAAUAUGAAGCCAAGAGAAAUUGUAUUUUAAAUUAUUUUAAUGUUUUCCCUAUUCUGAAAUGUUCAAAGUAGAAUAUGUUGUUUUUAGGUGACUCAAAAUUGCAGAUUCGCUGUAGCAUAGAGCUCUUAACAUGGUAUUAAUACAUAUCUUUUCUUUUGCUUUAGAUAUAAACUUGCCAAUCACCAAUGUUGACUGAUUUUGUUGAUGAUUUGACUCUGUUUGUUACACUUUUUAGUAGUCAUGAAUGACUUAGAAGUUAUCAAAAUUAUUCUAUUUUGCUUGCGAAUAUUGCUGCUGUUGUGAGAACAGAAUUGUUUUAAUUCUUAUAAAUCUGUUCAUAAAAUUUACAAUACUCCAAGAAAGGGGGAUUGAUUUAAGUGAUCAAGAAUAAGGAAAUGAACGCAUAAAAAAGGACCCAAAACAUAAAUGAUUUUAUAGUUAACACAAACUAUUGCUUGCAUACAUGGAAUCUUUUUCAUAGAAGUAACACCUAAUUAACCUUGAAUGAAAAAGAAGAAGAAGAAGAAAGAAAGUAAAGGGAAUCCAAUACCAUGAAUCUGCCACCCUGGUGUUGUUUCAAUGUCAAAUCCACUUGAUAUCUUGUUUGUUCUGCAAAAUUAGAAAGGUAAGACUGAUCAAAUAAAUUGUGGAGAAAAUAUAGCCUAACAUAAACUAUGAACAUAAAAUUUGAAAACUCAAAUGCUUGCAAAACUUACUUGAAAAUAUCAAUUGCAUUAUUUAGUUUCUUCUAGCACCAUAUCUGGCAACAUUCUUCUUUGUUUUUUUGUUGUUGAGAUUCCAUUUAUCUUCAACCAUCCUAAGAAACCAUGCAGGUUUUUUUGUUCUAAACACAACAUAUCCCGUUGCAACUCCAAACACAAACCCAAAUCCAUACCCCAUUGUCACAGCUUUCCAACCAAAUCCUUCUCCAAACAAUGUUGAAUCAUCUCCCUCAUCAAAGCUUGAUGGCUGCAAUGAUGGUGCCUCAUCACGGUAGCAUUCUUCUAGUACUUGAAAUCCACAUAAACCCAAGUUUCCUUCAAAUGAGCUUGCAUUAAAGGUGCUGAAUUGCUGUCCACUUGGUAUGGGCCCCUUGAGUUGGUUAUGUGAAAGGUUUAGGAUGGCAAGAAAUGUUAGACCCUCCAGCUGCAUUGGAAUCCUUCCGGUAAGUAAAUUUGAAGAUAGAUCUAAUGACUCCAAAUUAGUCAAAAUUCCCAAUGAUGAUUGGAUAUGACCUGUAAGGGAAUUAUGAGAAAGGUUGAGCUGUUGGAGUGCUUUAAGCUUUCCGAUCACUUUUGGAAUCUCUCCGGUGAAAUUGUUAUUUGACAAAUCAAGUACUCUGAUGGUACUUUGUAUCUUUGGAAACUCAAUUUCUACACCUUUCCAUGUCAAAUCUAUGGAAUAGACAUAGCUAGAGUAACUUGUUGCAUUCAUGUAAAUCAUGUUUUGAUCCGAGGCCAUCAUUGCUUCAAGACUAUUGAAAUACCCAGUUGGCAAUGACCCACUAAAAUCAUUGUCAGAGAUGUCAAGAAUCCGUAAUGUAGAGAAGGAAUUAUGUGCAGUUGGACCCUUCACAAAACCUUGGAGUUUAUUGGAUUUUAGGACAAGAAUUUGCAGCUUUGGAAGCUUUUCUAGAAAGUAGGGAAAUGUAUCCUCAAUCUUAUUGUUGCCAAGAUCAAGAACUUCCAACAUUGCACAGUUGUUGAUAGACGAUGGUAUUUUCCCUUCGAAUUCAUUUCCAUUGAGGUUGAGAUAUUCCAAGCUAUUAUCCUUUGUAAAUGUUGAAGGGAUAAUGCCUUGAAGUUUGUUCAUGCCUAGAUGCAAUACUGAGAGCGAGUUGCUGAAGUUCCCCAAACAUAGUGGCGUAGAACCACUCAAGCUGUUGUUGGACAAGUCCAGGAGUAUAAGGAAUCUCAGCUUGCAAAUAGAAGAAGUAAUCUCACCUGUCAAUUUACUAGUGGACGCAAGAAUAAGGACUUCCAAGUUCUUUUGUUUGAAAAUCGAACUUGGGAUUGUACCAUGCAAGUGGUUAUUGCUCAAAUCAAGGUAAAUCAAUGAAUAGUGUUGGAGUUCACUUAUAUUCCCUAUGAGAUUAUUGUCAUGAAGGUCAAGAUAAUACAAAGAAGGAAGAGCAAACAAAAAGGAUGGUAUUGUUCCAUUGAACAAGUUACCAAAUAAACUUAGACCCACUAGAUUUGAAAGGGUUUUUAAUUGAGAAUGGAUAGGUCCUCCUAGUUGAUUAUUUGAUAAAUCUAAAUAUGAAAGAUUGACUAGGUUAGCCAAAGAAUCUGGAACUUGACCCAUAAAAUUAUUGGAAUAGAGAAUCAAGUAUUGAAGGUGUACAAGGUUUCCAAGUGACGAUGGGAUCUCACCGGUCAAAUUAUUACUUGAGAGGUCUAAAUAAACGAGCCGUGUGAGAUUAGCAAGCGGGGCUAGAUCUGACCUUAUAAUGUUACAAUCACGAAGAGACAUAUAUUCUAAUGACUUUAGAUUACUGAUUAAGUCGUUUUCUAAAUAAACUGAAAUUCUUGUAUUAGAAAGAUACAACCGAGAGAGGACAUUACUCAAAUUGGACGAAGGAAAAGAGCCAGCGAGGCCUUGGUUGUAUGACAGAUCCAGUGAUUCAAGGUUUGGGAGGUGAAAGAUGUUACCCGGGAAUUUCCCCUGCAAUCCACAACCAAGGAGCGAAAGAUAUGACAAAGAAGAGGACAGAUUGGUCAAGGAAUUAGGUGCAACCAAAGACAUAUUUACAGAGCUCAAAUCAAGUUCUCUAAGCUUGGUUAGGUUUCGAACAAGCUUGUCAAAUGAAAUUGGUUCUAGAUUCAAAUAGUUGUUCCAAGAGAAAUCAAGUGAAACCAACUCAGUGAGUUGCUCAAAAUCAUAUGGAAUUGAACCAGUAAGACUGUUCCUUCCAAGAUCCAAGUACUGCAGGUGCUUAAAUUUCCCCAUCGAGGAUGGGAGUUUUCCUUGCAAUCCACAGCCAAUGAGUUUGAGUGAUGACAGAGAAGAAGACAGAUUCAUCAAGGAAUCGGGAACAACUAGUGACAUGUUUACCCAACUCAGAUGGAGUUCUCUAAGCUUGGUUAGGUUUCGAACAAGCUUGUCAAAACAAAUUGGUUGUAGACUCAAAUUGUCAUUAUCAGAGAGAUCAAGUGAAACCAAUUUGGAGAGUUGAGAGAUUUCCAAUGGAACUUGGCCUGCAAGAUCUGAACCACUAAGGUUAAGAUGCGUCAGAUUGGAGAACUGGCCAAAUCCAGAAGAAAUAUGGGAGGUGUUGAAAUAAUUGAAAGAGAGGUCGAGCUUUUGAAGAUGAUGGAGAGAGAAGAGAGAAUUAUUAGAAUGCAGGGUUCCGUGAAGCAUGCUGCAAGAGAGGUCCAGUCCAGUGACAUGCCCGGUUUUCAGGUCACAAG
rnacentral:lncRNA from 1 species